rnacentral:lncRNA from 1 species
UUGAGACAUGUGGAGUGAAUUCAACCUGAGCGGUACUGAUCUGUUGAGCAAGUAAUGAAUCGUUUUCCAUUCGAAGAUCAUCAUGAGACAUCUUCAACUUCUCAAGAUCAAGUUUCCUUUGAAUAAAUUCAUAGGAAAGUUUCUCAUGAUCAGCCAAGAGUGUGCCAUAACGAUCUUGAAGACUAUCAAAUCUGGACUGAAGACAUAUCUUCAGUGAGGAUUUGGGUAUGAUACAUUUCAUCAUUUAACAGGUCAUCGCUUUUGUCUAGCAGUUUUUGAAGCCUUUCAAUGGCAGUUUGUUGUUUAGUUGCAAUGUUGGCAAGUUUACAGUAACUGGAUUUUUUAUAAUCAUCAGGUUCACAAUCACUUGAAUCAGAGGAGGAAGUGUCAUUCGGUACCUUUGAACCUUUUGCCAUGAAGCAAUAGGUUGGAGCGAAGUCACCAGCAUAGUCAUCAGCGUAGAUAGCAUUGUCAUUUUCUUCAAGAUUGAAGAUUGACUUGUUCACGAAUGUGGUAGCCAGUGCAAGACUUGCCACACCAUACUCUGAGUCUUCUUCAAAACCUUCCUCUUCAUCACAUUCCUCAAAUUCUUCCUCAGAAUCCAUUUCCUUGCCAAUGAGUGCCCGAGCCUUUCUGAAACUAGUCUUCUUGUGCGACGAGGACUUUGAGGAUGAGGAUUUUGAAGAUUUCUUCUUUUUCUUCGAGUCAUCAGAACUUUCAUCCUUGUAUUUCUUCUUCUUUGAUUCCUUCACACAACGAGGACAAUCAACAAUGUAGUGACCAGAUUUCUUGCAUUUGUGGCAGGUUCUUUUCUUGUACUCCUCAGAUGAAGAUUUUGAUUUCCUCAUAUCUCUUCUUGAAGAUUUACCAAAAUGGCCCCGCCUAGUAAACUUCUGGAAUUUCCUCACGAGCAUUGCAAGCUCCUGUCCAAGUUCUUCAGGAUCACCAAUGUUGCAAUCUGAGUCUUCUUCUUCAGAUGAGGAAAUUGCUUUGGCCUUCAGUGCACGAGGUCUAGAGUAGCUUGGUCCAUACAAAUCUCUGUUUUCUUCCUGGUGAAAUUCAUGAGUAUUGAGUCUUUCGAGUAUGUCAGCAGGAUCAAGCAUCUUAUAGUCUGAUCUUUCUUGAAUCAUCAGAACUAGUGUAUCAAAUGAUGAAUCCAAAGAUCUUAGCAGUUUCUUCACAACUUCAUGGUCAGUAAUGUCUCCAGCUCCCAGUGCUUGCAGUUCAUUUGAGAUGUCAGUGAGGCGAUCAAAGGUAUCUUGGCAGCUUUCAUUGUCAAGCCUCUUGAAGCGAUUGAAGAGAUUGCGAAGAACAUCAACACGAGAGUCACACUGAGUUGAAAUUCCUUCAUUGACUUUGGACAACCUAUCCCAGAUAAGCUCCGCUGAGCCCAAAGAACUCACUCUGCUAUACUGACCUUUGCUCAGAUGGCCACAUAUGAUAUUCUUUGCUUGAGAAUCAAGGUGCUUGAAUUUCUUCACAUCAGCGGUAGAGACAGUAGCAGCAAUGGAGGGAAUACCAUGUUCCACAAUGUACCAGAGAUCAUUGUCAAUAGCUUGAAGAUGCAUCUGCAUCUUGGUCUUCCAGUAGGGAAAGUCCUUUCCUUCGAAGGUUGGACAUCCUGCAGUAACCUUGGUCAUACCCGCAGCCGACAUAACUAAAACUCCAUGUGGUUAAACCAAAAUCACACAGAACAAGGGAGUACCUUGCUCUAAUACCAAUUGAAAGUGCGUUAUAUCAACUAGAGGGGGGGGGGUGAAUAGCUGAUUUUUAGAAUUUCAUCACUGAGGAAAUUCCUUUUGAGGAAAUUCCUCACUGAUGAAUAACGUGCAACAGAAACAGCGCAGGAUCAGAGGUGAGAAGAUUACAGCAACAAUUUUCUUGAUGAAGAUUAUGAAAAACAGUUUGCACAGUAUGCAAGCACAAAAUAUGCAGGUGAAGAUUAACUGGUAUGAAGAAUUUGAGGUUGAGGAAAUUCAGAGAAAGUCUUCAGCAAAUUCUUCAAUGAAAUUCUUCAACAUACAAUAUUGAGGAAUUGAAAGAGUUGAAGAAAUAGAACCCAUAUCACAAUGAAGACAAUUGUUGAUGACCCAGUUUGAACUGCUGUGACAGUCGUACGUCUGGUGUGGAGCGGCUUGGUAUUGAAACCAAAGGACACACAGUCCCGGGACACACAGUCCCUACCGUAUUCUCCUUGAGCUAAGGACACACAGUCCUCGCCCAACACUCUUGGUAAGUCUUCAGGGCAGACUUCCAAACCCUCACAAACUCGGUCAUCCGGCAAUCCACAAUUGACUGCUGGAUUGCUCUAGACCAUGACACCUAACCGUCUGGAGGAUGCACAGUCCUCAAAGGUAAAAGGCUUCAUUUCCACACAGGAACAAAUUCUUCAGUGAUGCUCAAUCACUUGGUUUUUGGUUUGUGGUUUGGUGUUUGGGGUAUUACCUCACUUGAUGAUUUACUCUUGAAGACUCCGAGGAAUUUGGGUUGCUCUAAAUGACAAGUGUCAGUUUCUCACCGAGUAGCCAACUAGCUAGUGGUUGUGGGGGCGGCUAUUUAUAGCCUGGGAGCAUCCCGACAUGAUUUGACAUAAAUUCCCUUAAAUAUUUUGACCGUUGGUGUGGAUAAGAUCGGUGAGGUGGCGCGAAUCGCGGCAACGGUCGGGACUCUCAACUGUGAGAGUCCUCAUGUCUCUCAUAUUCCUCACUUGAGGCUUUUGUAGGAUUAGGCUUGGGUUGAGCAUUAUGAGGAAAUUCAUUCCGUAGUAUUACCUCGACCCCUUUUAACAGUACGGCGUUCCUAUGACUCAAGAGUGAAGAAAAUGAAACAAAAAGAAUAAAUCUUCACACUUCAAAGUCUUCAGGCUGAUUUUCUUCAGGACACACCGAAUUCCUCAUCUUCAAUAUCUUCAUGAGAAAUAUCAAUUUCAUCGCAAUUUCUUCGCGAUCAAAAUCUUCAGCAUAAGACCAAUUUCUUCAGCCAAAGAUAUACAUUGUUAGGGGUCGAUAUUCAUCGUAUAACUCAAACUCCUCAGCGACUUAUAGAGCCUGUGUACACUUAUAAACACAUUAGUUACUUAACCUAUAAGUAUUCAAACCACCAAAAUCACUAAGAGCAUUAUAUGCACUUACAGGGUUGACCACUGAAAAACGUUGCCCUUGAGGUGGUCAGUCCUUGCAUUCAUGCUCCUUGAGUCCUUGGGGUGGCAAGGAGUAGUUGUGUCGAAAUACGUCCUCCGAACGGGAGGUUUCAAAGCCAGUGAAAUAAGAAACGCCAGAGAAGGUUUCCCCCUUUUUUUAUUUUUCAAACAUCGGGCAUUAAGACUGGAAAAAACCAACUCAAGAAAUCAGACAGUUCAAACUCAGUGGAAAAUAGUUCGAAUCCAAGAGAAGGCAAGCAGGUGCCGCGUCCGACAUUUAAAGCUAGCAUAGUGAUUGGAGGACUAUAUGGGUUUCCUUGCUAGCUGCGAACAUGAUCAUUCGCAGGCCAUGCUAAUUAUCUUUGUACCCAGCGCGGAGCUAAGGUCUUCCACUAGGCGUCGGGUGGACCUCUUCCAUGUCCUCGGGGGGCCUUGGGCAUAUACAGCCUCGGCUCGUUAUUACGUGAGAUUAUCACGGUGGGGGUGUAUACGGGAGGUCGCGAGGACGCUUUGGCCUCGCGAGUGUCCCUACCUCCGAGGCAUUGGGGCCGGAGCUUCUAAAGUCAUUAGGGGACUGUGUUGUACCCAACGCGGAGCUAUGGUCUUUCACUUGGCGUGGGGUGGACCCCUUUCGCAUCCUCGCGGGGCCCUGGGCAUAUACAACCCCGACUUGUUAUUACGUGAGAUUUUCAUGGGAUGAAGUAGGUUCCAGAAGGAUUGCAGGAUGAUGCAGAGGUGCGAUGGGUUGAUGCAGGUCUUGCGUGCUCGCGCUCCAUCCCUCGAGGCCUAUUAAGGGCUUUUUAUGACUCUACGUUGACAGGUCCGAGUCCCGCACAUUUCCCUGCCGUCGUGAGGCGCCUCACGAGGCUAGGCCCCGACAUCCCCUGAUACCGACCAAGCCUGGACGACACCAGGGUGGCCGAGUGGCAUUGUGACUGGUAAGGCUCCUGAGGCGCGAUGCUCAGGAGCCACCUUUAAUGUUUGAGCGGCUCUACGUCGCUAAGAUCUAGUCCCGCACAUUUCCCAACCGCCAUUGCGUGUGAUCGAAUGAAAGGAUGUAGCUACGGGGUCAAGUCCUGCCUCCCCUAAUAACGACCGAAUGUCCGUGGAUGAUAUCAAGGGCGACAGGUGGCCUUAUGACCGGUAAGUCUCCUCGGGCACGAUGCUCAGGAGCCCCUCUUUGAUGCUCAAGCAACUCUGCGUCGUCAGGACCUGGUCCCGCACAUUUCCCAACCGCCGCUUCUUGUGACCGAAUGGACGAUCUUAGUUGUGGGGCCAAGCCCCACCACCCGUGAUAACGACCAAGUGUCCUUGGACGAUAUCAAGGAUGGCAGGUGGCCUUUUGACCGUUAAGGCUCCUGGAGCACCAUGCUCUGGAGCUCCCUUUGACGCUCAAGCGACUAUAGUUUUAUCCUGUCGACUGUGGUCCUGAGGGCCGUGGGGCUCCCCAUUCCCCGCAUUGGGGCGAUGCAUUGUGGCCGGUUCCCCCAAAUGGGAAAAGGUGGAUCACCGAAGGACACAAGCAAAGCAGCAUGUCAUGUCACCAAGUGGACGCAAUGGAAAUUGUAAAAGAUACGACUUGCAGGAGUAUGCCUCGAGCAGUUUGAAGUCCCUCCGAUUAGCAGACACUCCUUAAGGCAAUAGAUCCAAAAAACUUACCUUGCUGGAUGGUUGAAGCCCCCUUGCGUCUGAGGAAUGCCUUGCGGGACCAGGCCCCCGACGCCCACACCUGCAUCGUGGUCAUCGCGGGUGAUCUGUGCCUUCUCGCACCUCGUCAUGGCGUUCGACUCGUCCUUCUGAGGCCCAUUGUUUUGGCCCUACGUAACCCUUUCACGAGGAAAGGCAGCUAGCGCCAUGCCCCGCGGCUUGAGGGCGCCUCCCUGCCCGCGUCCUUCGGGCUCGGCUCAAGGAGGAGCCGCCAGACGCUCCCCACUCCUCAGGUGGAUAGACGCCCUGAGGGGACGCCUCGAGCUCUUAUUCGUCGGGAGGAUUAGGUAGUGCCGCAUACUCUGGCACAUACGGCUCCAUGUAGUUUCUCGCCCGUCCACCCCGGUCGGUCAUCAGUGCGACGGUGGCGGUCCCUCUUGGUGGUGGAGGGGGCGGUCCCUGCCGUACUGCUCGGAGAUCUUCCUGCGACAAGCCUCCGUGAAGUCACUUGUUCCUGUUGCCGUCGUGGGCUGGUCCUGGCGCAGCCCGAUGUUGAUUCCCUCCCUGGUGUCCCAUCAUGUCUCCGUUGUCGUAGUUCGUCUGCGCCAUCGCCUCCACCUUCUGCUGGCAGCGCCUAAGGGAGCUUUCCUGUCUAGCCGCCUUGGGCUGUCGAGGGCCGACCUGGUCUCGGUGAUGCGCACCAGCGUGUGCGUCGGUGGCGCCGCCUUCUUCCUUGCGUCCCUGGUGGUUUUCGGCGCGGGGCGCUUCAUGGCCAGUCGCUGGGGUCUGGAGAAGGUGGAGGGCAGCGUGAAGCGCGUCUCUCUCAGCCCCGCCCAGGGUAGGCAGGCCCUUGAAGCUUGCAGGCUAUAGGGCCGGCACGCGGUGCGAACCCCCGGCGCCCGGCGCUUGUGGCCUUGAGGAUGCACUAGGCUGGAUGGUCUUCUGGGCGAUGGCGAUUAGCUCCAUGAUGUGGUCCACCCAGGCAUCGAAGCCUCCUGGUGUCGGUUGUUGGCGGAGCAUCUCUCUUGCCAUCCGCAACGCUCGUCUGUGUUGAGGUCCCCAAGUUGAUGCGGCGCACUGCGGGUGCCUAGGCCGCCGCCUAGCCACCAUGCGUCUGGGUGACCCGAGUGACCGUCCUGGUGGCGGCGAUGUUGACGUCUUGGUAUGUGCCGCCUGGUCCCGCGACACCGGCAUGCGAGCUUCCGGCCGCUGUGACAUGGUGGUCAGAAACCAGCUCGGCGAGGCUGGUCAGUCGCCGGCCAUCGGCGCAACGAUGUGGGAAAGAGAAAGCUAGGAGAAAGCCUCAACACGCCCCUACCUAGCGUGCCAAAUGUCGGAUUUCGGGCUCCGCAAAACCCUUAAGGAUUCGAACACAGGGGCGUGUACGACGAUCUCUCUCGGCUUGACCUGACCUAGCCCACUACUCGAUGGGAACGGCGAAGAACUCACUCGAAGGUGAGGUGAACAAAUAACACAAUAGUUUACCCAGGUUCGGGCUACUGCGAAGCGUAAAACCCUACUCCUUCUUUUGGUGGAUUGCCUCUCACAGAGGUUGAUGAAUGAACUAGUACAGUGCUCUCGAGCUUCCGGAGGCCAAGUGGCUAGGUGUGUUGUUCUAGGGUUUCGAUGAUCCGAUCCCCCUGCCAAGUGUUCUACCCCCUCUAUUUAUAGUGGACGCGAGGGUUCUCUUCCCUUUUCGUAGGCGGGAAGGGAUCCCACAACGGCCAGUUUCGGUGGGAGACAAGGGAACAUGCCUCCUGUGUCAAAAGUAGUCUUCGAUUACAAAGCCGCUGCCAGCAUCGUAGAGGUGAGCACACGGAUGACGUCCGUCCUGUCGGCGGGCGACAAUGGUCUUGUUGCACCGGAAGGGAAACCUUUAGGACAUGCCUUUGGAGUCCUGAUUAGCUCCCACCUUCUUUGCAAUAAAGGGGGAACUGGCCUGUCCUGCCACCUUCUGAUCGCCUGCCCUUCCAUGGUGUCAUCCUCGACUUUUAAGGCCCGAUCUUGCCUUGAAAUAUCCGCCGCUCCGGAGGGGUCCUGAGGAUCCCCCCUGCGCGUCUUGAUGUCACUCUUCCUCGCGAGGCUUGGACCUUCGCGAGGGCCUUGUUCAGGGUGGUGUUGUUCCUUGCCGAUCUUGUAUUGAUGGAGUGGGCCCGCCUUGGGUCGCAGGCAGGCAGGUCUGGGUACCCCGGCUCCCAAAACGCCGAUAGAUACAAACCAAAGGUUUUCUCGAUCCAACUAACACUGGUAAAAUAUGCAAGCUCAAGAGAUCCAUUUAUGGAUUGAGGCAAGCAACUCGGAGUUGGGAUAUUCAUUUUGUUGAUGUCGUUGUUGACCUUGGUUUCAUCACGAAUGAAGAGGACUAUUGUUUAUACAAGAAGUCUAGUGGGAGCUUGGUAGUAUUUUUGAUCUUUUAUGUGGAUGACAUACUACUGAUCGGAAAUGAUGUUUCAAUGCUGAACUAGGUCAAGGAAUUAUUGAAUCGCAAGUUUUCAAUGAAGGGCCUUGGAGAGGCAAUGUACAUUUUAGGCAUCAAGAUCUACAGAGAUAUAUCGAGGAGGCUGCUCGACUUAAGACAGAGCACGUACAUAGACAAUGUGUUGAAGCGAUUCAACAUGAGUGAGGCCAAUAAAGGGUUCUUGCCCAUCUCACAUGGUAUAAGGCUAAGCAAGACUCAGUGUCCUAUGACUUCUGAUGAGUGAAACCGGAUGAGUAGGGUUCCAUAUGCUUCGGCAAUAGGAUCCAUCAUGUAUGCCAUGCUAUGUACACGACCUUAUGUUGCCUAUGCAAUAAGCUUAACAAGCAGAUACCAAGCCGACCCAAGUGAGAGUCAUCGGGCAGCGGUGAAAUCUAUCUUGAAGUACCUGAAAAGGACUAAAGAGAUGUUCCUAGUAUACGGAGGUGAGGAGGAGCUCAGCAUAAAGGGUUAUGUUAAUGCUAGUUUCCAAACCGACAGGGAAGAUUGUCGAUCCAAACUGGAUUCGUGUAUGUCAUGAAUGGAGGAGUAGUGAUGUGGAUGAGUUCCAAGCAAGAUACGGUGGCCGACUCCACAAGAGAGGCUGAAUACAUUGUGGCUUGUGAAGCUCCAAAGGAAGGUGUUUGGAUUCGGAAGUUCCUGGAGGACAUUGGUGUGUUCCCGGCUGGUCAAAACCGUUGGACCUUUAUUGCAAUAAUUCAGGUGCCAUCGCACAUGCCAAGGAGCCGAGACAACACCACAAGACUAGGCACAUAGACCGAAAGUAUCACCUGAUACGAAAGCUCGUAUAGAAUGGUGAUACUAAUUUAUGCAAGAUUCACACGAAUGUAAAUAUCACAAAUCCUUUGACUAAGCUGCUUCCACAACCCAAACACGAGGGGCACGUUAGAGCUAUGGGCAUUCGAUGUCUAUUUUAUUGACACUAGUGCAAGUGGGAGACUGUUGGAGAUAUGCCCUAGAGGAAAUCAUGUAUGAUGAUAUUUCCUAUGUCUUUAUGAAUAAAUAUAGUCCUUGUACAUUAUCAAUGAUGUGUAUUAACAAGUGCGUGACUUGUUUGUGAGACUAUGCAUUAUAUGAUGAUUGUCCUAAAUCGUCCCUAGUCAAAAGAGUUAUGUGGACGUGCAACCAACUACACUGGCAUAUGAUAUGGUGGAUGGUCAGGUCUCACUGUCCAUGUAGCAUUGGAUUCUAGUCGGAUAAUAUGGACUCAAAAAGAUCUGGUUGGGUUUAACGUAGUCGGAUCUGAGUCGAGAUAAGGUGUGAGUUGGACAGACCCAACUAUGAGACGCAGCGAUAGUUCAUCUAUGAGUCUCUAAUACAACAUAUUUUCUAUGUCCUAAGACUUGAGCUGGCGCAUGUACUGAGGAUGGUGAUAGACUUGCUUUUGGCUGACCAAACACUACUCCAUGGUUGGGUAGUUACAAAGGUAGGUUUCGGGCUUGUCCACACCCAUGCUGCGAGAUGUGGUCGAGCAAGAUGGGAUUUGCCCCUCACACUAGGAGAGAUAUAAUCUGGGCCCCUCGGGUGAUCUGACCUGGAUAAGCAUGGCCAUGCAAUGAGGAUUAUGAGAUAAUCCGAAUGUUGGUCAGAUUCACCGAAAUGACAAACAGGUCGAGCGACAACAAGGAUGACCAUGUCGCCUUCAGCACGACAAUGUAUAUCAUGUGGCAAAGGGAACAGAAGUAUGAAGUACAGGUUUGCCUAACCAGCUUCAUCAGACACUUGGAGUCGGCACACCUUGCUAGAGGCCACUACUGACUAGCUGAGUCAGACGUGGUCUGACUUGCGACCAAGUGAACGAGAACCUAAAGGGUCACACACUUAAGGGAAGGAACACGUGGGCUUUAGGGUCCAUGCGAGGCCCAAGAGUUGAUCCUGCGACGGACGCCUAUAUAUAGUGGAGGUGCGGCACACUUAUUGGAUUGAUCACUUCGGCGCCAUCAUUAGGGCUGUGUAUGUGUUGCACCUAGCCAGCUCCACUCACCGCCGCUAACUGUGUGAUCGAGACCUAGCAGUCCACCGCAUGGUGUUCCUCGUGCACGUGCAGAUAUCGUUAGAGGCGGUGCACCUGUGCCGCUCCAGAAAACCUGUAUGUGGGAUCCGACGAAUGGUUGUUCGAGGGAGACGAUCUGGCAACCGACCGUUCAAGGGAGAUUGGACGGGGAGGAGAAGGACCACGCGGACGUGCUGCGCCAACUCUACUUCUGCUGAACGAGACUGCGCAUCUAGUGGUAAUGCCUGUGAUCCAUCUCCAUAGAAUGUGCUUGGAUGUUCUGCGCGUAGGAAAAAUUUAAUUCGCAUGUGAUGCACCUACGGUAGAACCCAACAACCUUUCCCAUGACAAUACUAACAGAGUCCACUCAUUGGUGCCAUCCCUGGUGAUGUACAUCACCAGUAUCAUCCACGAGGGCAUGCAUCGGUGUGCUCGUUGUGUGUGAAAACAACCCAUGGUCGUCCUUUCCGGCACGACCCCGUCUCGAGAGCAGCCACAUCACUCCUGCCACUAGUAAUACGGGCUCUCUGGUAGUACCAACCAUAUUAAUCAACAAAAGCCCCUGGGUAUCAUGGUUGUACAUGUAAGGUUGGGACAGUCACGAAACCUUAAAUCUCUUUGUUUUUGAAAUCACACACGCAUCUUCCCUUGGUACACCACUUCUUUCUUAAGUGGUCACCUAAUCUCAACACCAUCUCCCUCGGGGAUUAGUGGCAUCCGACGGGUUUUUGGAAAAGUCUUUGAAAAUACAACUGUUUCCAUCACUAUGCAUAGUCCCAUCCUGUUUGCGUAGCAACUACAUAACAACCUAUCUACUUCCCGCCAACACAACUUUAAGCAUGAGUAGAGUCAUGUCAUGCAAGUAUCAACAAAGAAGUAAUGGAUGCAACCCAUAAGUUGGUCACCAUAGUCACCAUGAUUCAAUGCAACAAAUUAAGUGACAUAUGCCAUGCAAAAAGGGUUUCAAGUCAUCAUCAAGGGCAUGCUUGCAUGGCUCAAAAAAGUCUUUGCGUCUUUAAGUUUCCUCGCCCAACUCCUCCGUCAACAACGCAAACUAUCUAGGCAAUUAUAGCGGGAAUAAUUAGACCACGACAAAAAUAGAGAAAAUAAAGUCUUCCUAAAAAUGUCACACCAUUUUUGUAAAAUAGUUGGGUGAAUAUAAGCUUUGUAAAAAUUAUAAAAUUCUGAUUUUGAAGUGCAAAAAGUAACAUAGUGGGUUAAAAUAAUUCAAACAAGAUUUUAAGUAAAACAAUGUAUAAAACUUUUCGUAUAAAUUGCACAAGUGUCACCAUUAAAUACGUUUGGUUUCUAGAAAAAGAGGAGUUGGAAUCAUUGCAUCUGGAUCAAUAUUUAAUCUAGGGAAUUUUUGCAAGAUUAUAUGUAAAAGAAAAAGACAUGCAUCACAGUUUCCAGUUCGCCGCAGCAGAGGCGGACCCGAGCCGGCCCAGAAGAGUUGACCGAGGAGGCAAAGGGAUGUGCAUGCCGGCCGAGGUUUGAACCCGACCAAUGGGCCCAAUCUGCCAGAGAGAGAGAGAGAGAGNNNNNNNNNNNNNNNNNNNNNNNNNNNNNNNNNNNNNNNNNNNNNNNNNNNNNNNNNNNNNNNNNNNNNNNNNNNNNNNNNNNNNNNNNNNNNNNNNNNNNNNNNNNNNNNNNNNNNNNNNNNNNNNNNNNNNNNNNNNNNNNNNNNNNNNNNNNNNNNNNNNNNNNNNNNNNNNNNNNNNNNNNNNNNNNNNNNNNNNNNNNNNNNNNNNNNNNNNNNNNNNNNNNNNNNNNNNNNNNNNNNNNNNNNNNNNNNNNNNNNNNNNNNNNNNNNNNNNNNNNNNNNNNNNNNNNNNNNNNNNNNNNNNNNNNNNNNNNNNNNNNNNNNNNNNNNNNNNNNNNNNNNNNNNNNNNNNNNNNNNNNNNNNNNNNNNNNNNNNNNNNNNNNNNNNNNNNNNNNNNNNNGACUAGGAUCCGGAAGGUGUCAUAGGUCAAGCGAGGCUGGAGGGGAGUGCUGAAGGACCCUUGGCUGCGAAGAUCUCUAAAGAUUCAAACUCAGGGCUGCGCGAAGAUCUCUCACCGGCUCGCCUCACCUAGCUCUCUACUCACUGAGAAUGGCAAGGAACUCACUCGAUGCUGAAGAAGACAUAGAACACGACAGUUUACCCAGGUUCGGNNNNNNNNNNNNNNNNNNNNNNNNNNNNNNNNNNNNNNNNNNNNNNNNNNNNNNNNNNNNNNNNNNNNNNNNNNNNNNNNNNNNNNNNNNNNNNNNNNNNNNNNNNNNNNNNNNNNNNNNNNNNNNNNNNNNNNNNNNNNNNNNNNNNNNNNNNNNNNNNNNNNNNNNNNNNNNNNNNNNNNNNNNNNNNNNNNNNNNNNNNNNNNNNNNNNNNNNNNNNNNNNNNNNNNNNNNNNNNNNNNNNNNNNNNNNNNNNNNNNNNNNNNNNNNNNNNNNNNNNNNNNNNNNNNNNNNNNNAGUUUACCCAGGUUCGGGCCGGUGAGAAGCGUAAUACCCUACUCCUGCUUUGGUGGAUUGCCUCUCUCGGUGGUGGGCGGAUGAAUUAGUACAAUGCUCGGGAGCCUCCGGAGGCUGGGUGGCUUUGCGUGGUGCUAGUGGGUGAACGAAUGAAUCGGGGGCCUCUCUACGAAGCAACCUAUCCUCUAUAUAUAGUGGCGGCCAGGGUCCUCUUCCCUUAUCGUUUCGGCGGGAAGGGAUCCCACAAUGGCCAAUUUUGAAGGGGAACAGGGGAACAUGCCCCCCUGCCCAAAGGUGGUCUUCGCCUGCAAAGUCUGUCAGCGCAACACGGCCGGGUACAGGGAUGACGUUCGUCCUGCCGGCGGGCGGCCAUGGUCUUGUUGCACUAGAAAGGAAACCUUUUGGAGAUGCCUUCGGAGCCUCUGGUACGUCCUUGCCUCCUUUGCACUAAAGGGGAAACUGCACCGCCCCGUUGUGUGCUGCUCGCCUGUCCUUCCCUUGCGUCAUCCUUGACUCCCGAGGCCGGGCCUCGCCUCGGAAUAUCCGCCGUUCUGGAGGGGUCCUAAGGAGGCCCCCUGCGGGUCUUGAUGCCGUUCCUCCUCAUGAGGUUUGGACCUUCACGAGGGCCUUGCCUUGAGUGAUGUCGGGCCCGUUAGCGUGCUUGAUGAAGUGGGCCAGCCCUGGGCCGCAGGCAGGCAGGUCUGGGUACCCCCAUUCCCAGAACGCCGACAACUACCAUAGAUACAUGAAGGUUGAGUGCGACAAGGACAAGUGUGUCCUUCACAAGGCUUUGGUGAACGAACUGAAUGAAGAACACAUUGAGUAUGUGGUCAAGGACACAUACACAAGGCGAGAUGUAUAGGAGGAUUGUUCACACGAGGAAGUGCCUUCCUUCCUACGAACAAUGAGGGAUAGCCACAAGCAGAGAAGUGGCCGCAACCGUCUUCAAAAGCACAAUAUGAUUUGGUGAUCGUCUACUUCUUGUAAAUUUAUAUUAGGGAAUGUACAUGUGUUUUUUAGUCACAUAUAUAAUUGGAUGCUCAUGUUGGUCAUGCAACAAUGUUGGUUUUCUAUAGGCAGAGCAUAGAUGUUGGGAAAACAGAGCAAACGACAUCUCAUACAACUAUUUAGCAGCAACCAUUUGCCCACAACACAUACGGAUUGCCAGGACGACUCGUUUGAGUUAUUAUUUGUCUUCCCACACAAUUCUAAUGAAUGAAUAGUUUGCUGGGUAUCACACACACUUUCUUAUGCUAACUCAUUUGUGUUCUGCUCGAUCAGCAAAAACAGUUUAUCCGAGUGAACUAUAUGAUGUAAUUCCCAAACAAACGUAUUUUGUUAACCGUUUAUGUCAUCUUGGAUAAUGGCAAACAAUUGUUAAUAACCAACUGUAUGCCACAUAACACACACAUAUGUCUUUUCUAAAUCAUAUUUGGUGGAUCUGCCAUCGCACACAGUUCGUGUUAUUGGCGAUAGAGCUAGAACUAUAUCAUUUGUGAUUGAUGGAUUGCACACAGUUUGUUCAAAGGGGAUCUGAUUGAUGUAUCAUCUUACCAUCCUACAGUAGUGAGUAUCUACUUCUAUUGAGCAAAAUAAUGCUGAUAUUUAUGUGAACUUUGUCUCUUGAAAUAAUUUCAACAAUAAUGCUUAUAGUGGAAAUUUUAAUGCUAGACCGUUUCCCAAUAACUCUCCUAAUAAUUAUGGUAAUUCCUACGGAAAGUUUUCCAACAAUAAUAAUAGGCUACCUUAUGUAGUUUUUUAGAGUUUCCACAUCAUCUCCUAAAAGUAAAAACUUUCCGCCCAAGCAUGAUAUUAUUGAGUCCAUUAAAUCUAUCCAUGUCUCUAAUAACAAAGUAAGGAGAGAAUCGCUAGGUUGUGAGCUAAGCGAGAACUCCUAGAGAAAGUUCUUCCACCUGGUUUUUACCAUAAUCAUGAUGAAGAUCUUAAAAUGAUUGGUAUUUUUCCUAUUUAUACUUUAUUUACUAAGAUGAAAUUGAUUAUAAAGGGACUGGAGAUGAGUUAACUUCACCUAGAAGGCAUCCCAUUUGUUCGGACGGUGGUGAUCUUAAUGAUAAAAAUGAAAAAGUGAGUUUGGAGAGUCAAAACUUUAACUAGUUAUGUGCCUACUAUCAUGAAUUAGAAGGACCUUAAUUAUGUAAGUUGUUAUUUAGUAUAUUGUAUUUCCUUGUUCAAGACAUAAUUAGCUCACAAAAAGCUUAUGAACAAAUCAAAGAUUUUACUAACCUAUUGAGAAGGGAUGGUAAAAGCUCAUGAGGAGAAACUUGAAGUAGAAGUUCUAUACCUAGAAAAUUGCAUUAGGAAUGGGAAUCUACUAUUAAAAAUAAGAUUAAAGAAUAUGAAUGUAAUGAUUUGAGUUACCUUGGUGCUAGUGAUUAAACUAUACAUAAAUCUCUUUGUUUUGUGCUUGGUCUCACCGAUAUAUAUGAUUGUUCCCUUAAUUUGCAUCUUGCGGAUUCCAAUAUUAAGGAAUGUUUGGGUAGAAUGAAUGAUGUGCUUAUUUUUGCUAACAUAAACUAUGUUCCUAUAGAUUUCAUUAUGGUUGAUAUCGAAUGCAAUCCUCCUUGUCCAAUUAUACUUGGUAGACCUUUCUUACGGACUAUAGGUGCUAUUAUAGACAUGAAGGAGGGAAACAUAUGAUUCUAAUAACCAUUAGAGAAAGGGAUAGAACAAUUACCUAGGAAGAUAAUUAAACCACCUUAUGACUCUAUCACGAGGUCCGCUUAUGGAUUGAAUGUCAAGGAUGGCCACACAUGAUCCUAUGCAUUCUGGCUAGCUACGGGGUAAAACCAUAGCGUUUGUUGGGAGGCAACCCAAUAGUUAUCUUAAUUUUUGUGUUCUAAUUUCUGUUGUUUUGUGUUGACAUGAUUAUUUCUACUUUUAUAUUGUGGUAUUAUGUUUUAAUUAGUGUUUGUGCCAAGUAAAGCCUUUGGGAGGGAUUUGAAUGAUAUUAUAAUUGAUACGCUGCAAAAAUAGAGACUGUUCUGUUUUGGACGGAUUCUUUUUUUGUUGGGUAGUUUGUUUUGAUGAUGUUAUGGAUUAUAACGACGGGCAUACACCAUAGAGAAGUUAGAAUAUAGAAACUUAUGCAAUGAAUAAUAUUUAUUAAUUUAUAAUAGUACCUAAAUCUACGAUUUUCCUAUUGUACGAACGGAUCUCGCGAGGUUUCUGUUGAGUUUUGUGUUCUGAAAUUUGCAAGUUUUAUGUGCGAUCACAAUGGAUGAAGGAAUAAAGAGCGGCUAGACCCUAAGCUUGGGGGUAUACAAGACACCACACGGUAAUAUACUAGGAAGUCUCAUGAGUCUAAGCUGGGGAUGCCCCGGAAGGCAUGCCCUCUAUCGUCUCCAUUCCAUCGGUAUGUCACUUGGAGCUAUAUUUUUAUUCAUCACAUGAUAUGUGAUUUGCUUGGAGUGUCGUGUAUUAUAGUUUUAUUUUGUUUUAGUUUUUCCACAAUUAGUGUUUGCUGGACACAGUUAUUUGAGAGAUACAAAUGUUCAUCCUGAUUUGUUAGAAUAUUUUUUGUGCUUCUCUUAUAUCUUUUGAGCUAAGCAGUUUCUCUAGUGCCUCACUUUAUCUUUUAGAGCACGAUGGUGUGUAGAUUUUAGAGAAAUAAUUUCACUCUUGUUAUACACUUAUAUUUGUUUGAGAGUCUAAUAGAGAGUAAUGAUAAUUUUCAUGGGUUAUAAGACUAGUUCAAAAAUGAUAGGUAUUUAAGGAGGAUAUAAUAAAAACUUUCAUGUAACAUAUAAAAGGGAAAUUGUGGGUUAGUGAUAUUGAUGUGGUUAUAUGAAAGGGCAUGAGCGAAUGGUUGUUGGUUAGUUGAAAUAUCGAUAAUUAAUGGGUGUUAGUUGUUGUUCAUAUAAAUACUAUUUAUGGCAUGGUGAUGAUGUGUGACCAUUCUUAUGCAUCAUUGAAAUCCUAGUGCUUUUCAGGUUGGGGGCACACGAUGGUUAACCCCUAGGGACAUGUGGUACUACUUUGCUUGUAGAGAGGUAAUAAUGCUUUGCAAUAAGGAUAUGAGUUCUUCAUGGCUAAUGUGAAUGUAUGGAUAUACACACACACACACACUCAUGUUUCCAUAUUUGCUAGGUUCUUCGGUACUGUGCAUUGCCCAUCCUCACUUCAAGGAUCAGUGCAACCUUCACCGGUGCAUCCAAACCCCGUGAUAUGAUACACUCUGUCACACAUAAAGCUACCUUAUAUCUUCCUAAAAAUAGUGCCAUACCUAACUAUCAUGGCAUUUCCAUAGCCAUUCGAAGAUAUAUUUACGUGAACUUCUAGCGUUACAUCACAUGACUUGUGUGCUCAACAUUAUACUGCUUUGCAUGACGAUAAGAUAGCUCACAUGAUAUUUUCAUGGCAUGUCCGUUUUUUGAUAUCUUUGCUAUUCUAGAUCAUUGCACAUCCUGGUACACUCACAGAGGCAUUCGUAUAGAGUCAUUUCUUUCAUCAUCACUGAAUUUUAAUAUGGAGUUGUAAGGUAGAUAGAAGUGUGAUGUUCAACAUUAUCAAAGCACUGUCUUAGUGAGGAAAGGAUUAUGGGGACUAUGAUCUCCCACAAGUCUGGAUGAGACUAUAGAUAAAAAAUAAAAUAAAAAGGGGAAAAGAGAAAAAGGAAAAGAACAAAAUAAAGAAAAUAAAAAGAGUAAAAAGGAAAUAAAUGAGGGAGAAGAGAGAAGGGACAGUGCUACUACUUCUUUUUCCACCCUUGUGCUUAGAGAAAGCACCAUGCUUUUCAUCUAGAGAGUCUCAUCAAUUGUCAUUUUCAUAUGCUAGUGGGAAUUUUUCAUUAUAGAACUUGGCUUGCUUAUUACGAUGACGGGCUUACUUAAAUGCCCAAGGUCUUAAUGAGAAAGCAAGUUGGAUGCACACCCACUUAUUUUCCUUUGAUCUUUCAUAAACUUAUAGCUCCAGUGCAUCCAUUGCAUGGCCAUCCCAACUCCCCACAUUGAUACAGAUUGAUGGGCAUCUCCAUAUCCCGUUGGUCCGCCAAGUUGAUGUGAGACUUUCUUUUCCAGUUUUACUCCUUUUGAUCUCUACCACCAUACUCUAUUUGACCCAUAUGCUAUAUCCUUGGUUCACACUCAUGUAUUUAUUGAGGUUGAAAAUGCUAAAGCACGUUAGAAGUAUGAUCCAGUUUCCUUCCUUAACAUCAUGGUGCUCAUCAUUUGCAAUUAUGUGGUGAAGACGGAGCCAUGCCAUGCUAAUAUGAUAAAAUGAGUGGGGAGUAACAUUCUUUACGGAUCAUAUAUUUUGGAAUUUAAUGUUUGUGUUGUUUAUGUUUAUUGAUAUUACUAUGUUGAUGUUUAUUAAUUCAUUGUUUCUCAAUGAUCAUUCCUGAAAAAGAUUACAUAUUAGGUAGCAUGUCACAUCAAAAAUUCUGUUUUUCAUAAUUUACCUACUCAAGGAUGAGAAGGAAUUAAGCUUGGGAAUGGUGAUACGUCUCCAACAUAUCUAUAAUUUUUGAUUGUUCCAUGCUAUUAUAUUACAAUUCUUGGAUACUUUAUAUGCAUUUACAUGUUGUUUUAUAUCAUUUUUGGGAAGUGACCUAUUCACCCAGUGCCUAGUGCUAGUUCAUGUUUUGUUCCGUGUUUUUGGAUUUUUAGGAAAUCCGUACCAAACGCAGUCCAAAUGCGAUGAAACAUUUUGAAGAUUUUUUUCUAGACAGAAAUAAGACCGGGAAGCUUCAGAGGGAGGCGGGACACCACAUGAGAUGGUGCCAAGCCAAGAGGGCGCCCCUAGGAGGUGGUCGCGUCCUGAUGGCUUGGGAGCACCUCCUGGCAUUUCGUGACCUAACUCCGCCUUUAUAAAUUUUAUAAAAUCGGGAAAACACUAGAGAGCCACCCGAAACACUUUUUCAGUCGCCGUAUGUCUCUUCUCCACCAUGAUCUAAUUUGGAGCCUUGUUCCGAUGCCCUACCGUAGGAGGGUCUAUCACAGAAGGCCUCCACAUCAACCUUGCUACACCCAGGGUGAGGUGUGAGUAGUUUAACAUAGACUACGGUUCCAUAGCUAAUACCUAGAUGGCUAUCUCUCUCUCUAGAUGAUCUUCAAAAAAAGUUCAUCAUGAUUCUUGCGAUGAUCUAUUCGAUGUGAUCUGUUUUGCGGUGUGUUUGCCGGGAUCCGAUGAAUUGUGGGUUUUUGAUCAGAUUAUUCUUGCAAAUAUAUUGAGUCUUUUCAGGUUUCAUAUAUGCAUGAUUAUGAUAGCUUCGUAUUUCUCUCCUAUCUAUCGGUUUGGUUUGGCCAACUACAAUGAUUUAUCUUCGAAGGGAGGAUGCAUUGUGAUGGGUUCAAUCUUGCGGUGCUCAAUCCCAGUGACAGAAGGGGGCAUGACACAUAUUUGUAUUACUGUCAUUAAGGAUAAAAAGAUUGCAUUCAUAUUAGUUGAGUUUAAUUUGUCUAUAUCACGACAUCUUGCUUCAAGCAUUACUCUAUUUUUUUAAUACUCUAGAUGCGUGUUGGAUAAUGGUCGAUGAGUCGAGUAAUAGUAGUAGAUCUAGGCAUGAGUUGGUCUACUUGCUUAUGGACGUGAUGCCUAUAUAUAUGAUCAUUGCCGUGAAUAAGUACUUCAUAUAUAUGUGCUAUUCUAUGAAUUUCCGAACAUUAAUUUGUUUACCCACCAUAUGCCUUCUUCGAGAGAGAAGCCUCUAGCGAAAACUAUGGCCCCCUGGUCUUCCCAAAAUAUAUUACUAAAACCCUAAAAAUAUUGUUGCCAGUUAUCUUCUCUUACUUUAUUUUAUUUAUACAUUACAUAUCUAUGAAUAGUUAAUAUUUGCAAGUAACGUGUUCAACGGGCUUAUCAACCCUCUUGCCCGUGUUAGGUGCAAGUGUUUGCUGUUUUGUGUGUAGAUGCUGAUGACGAGAAUUUGUGUGGUUCUUCUAUUGGUAUGAUAACCUUGGUUCUCGUUGAGGGAAAUACUUAUCUCUACUGUUUGCAUCUCCUCUCCUCUCAUGGGGAAACCACACACAGUUUACAAGUAGCAGUGCGCCUCGUUCCGCAUCGUUGAUGGGAUGGCGUCCCAUAUCAUCCCAAUGAAGAUCUCGAAGAAGGUGGAGGGAUUCAGGGCACAUUGGGUAUUCAUGGAUGUGGGCAAGUUCAUAUCCAUCCGCCUGACCCCAAUUGCCCCUGCCGAAUAGAGCUCAGGAUGGGAGCACGCCCAGCUCACGGACACCGGACUGAAGCCACUCAUGAAGAGGAUGAAGGACGUGAAGAACGCAUGCCUCACGAGGGCUAUGGUCGCCAAGGAAUUCAUGCACCGACACAUCACCCCUCUCCAUAAGCACUCGCUCUUGGUGUGGACCUAUAUCAGCGUCAGGGACAUGAUGAGGCUGAGCGUCAAUAGCCUGUUGGGGUCGGUGGCGUAGUAGGUCAUGAAGAUCUUGUUCGUUGACGACAUGGCAAACCUACCCGAUGGCACAUACCUAGUGUACCGCUAUGUCGUGACGGUUGCGACAAUGUCGCGAUUCAAUCAGUGGGGACGGUCCCUGUGGGCCACGAGGGGCACCACGAGUACCCCCUCUUUGUGGUGCCCAACUCAGACGGUCAUGAGGACGCCGUGACCUUGGCAGGCGCUGACGAGGAGGUCUGCUGAGGGGCUUCCCUGUUGGCUUUUUGCCCUCAGGAUCGAACACACGAUCACCCUGCAGCUCGACUAGUCGUGUACGUACAACUCGGCUCAACGUAUACGAACUAGGUGUAGCACUCGAUAUCUCACCGGCGCUCACACAAACACCGGGACCAGAACACACGCACGCAAACGCAGCAACACGAAGAUAGACAGAGGCACGUGUCGUGCCUCGUAAUAAUCUCUUUAUUGCUUUUCUCGUUUUUCUGGUGUACAAAACUCACGCAACGCUGCAUAUAUAUAUAUAUGCAUCAACCUGGCUAGCAAGCCGACUGCAAACACCAAUCCCAAUCCUACUCGUACUCAAACUUACCUAAACUAAGCUCACGGCAACGCUGAUCACGAACACUAACCAAACUAACACAUACCUGUUUGGGUUACUCUAACAUUCACCCCCUAAUCCAAACACUCGACUCAUCAACUUGGAAGCAACACAUCGUUUGGAUUACCAGUCCACGCCGUCACAUCUUAGCGUGCUACAUGUAGACUAAACGCAUAGCCUCUCAUGUAGGAACUCAACUUAACUGGUGCACAUCCAUCUUCAUGCUGGCCUUCGUCUUCUCGCCGAGACACACUAACGACUCAGACAUAAGAAAAAACUAAAGACACGACUCUUUUUUUGUUGCUUUCUGCCACAACUUCUUCAUCAAAGCAACCCUGGGCCGUCAUCCACUCCCACUUUAGCUAGUUGCAGAAUCUCGUGCUCCUUCUUUGCCCCAUUUCGCGGAUUAGGACACUCUCGAGAAUAGUGUCCAUAGUCCUGACAACUGUAGCAACGAACUUUAGAUUUGUCGAACUUCUGGUACUUCUGAUUAUCUUUCUCCUUAUUGCGCGAGAACAUCAACUGCUCCUCUUCUUGGUCGCGUUCCCGUCCUUUCAAUGUCAACUCAUAGGUCUUUAGCCACCCGAUCACCUCCAUCACCGACAUCUUCGUCACAUCGCCCCACUGCUCGAUGGUGCCAAUGAUCGGUAAAAACUUGUCGGGAACAACUCGUAGUAAUUUCUCCACAACCAUAAUGUCACCAUCAAGCAUGGGGCACUGGAUGGUCACACCACCACCACUCGCCUUCGAAGUUGACAUGAUUCUCUUCUACGAUUUUUCGUCGUCCGUGACACAACUUGACGGCGACGACAACUCCACCGUGACACAACUUGACGGCGAAGCUUCCACACCUUACUCUAGAUACCAAUUGUCGGCUUUUUGCCCUCAGGAUCGAACACACGAUCACCCUGCAGCCCGACUAGUCGUGUACGUACAACUCGGCUCAACGUAUACGAACUAGGUGUAGAACUCGAUAUCUCACCGGCGCUCAUGCAAACACCGGGACCAGAACACACGCACGCGAACGCAGCAACACGAAGAUAGCCAGAGGCACGUGUCGUGCAUCGUAAUAAUCUCUUUAUUGCUUUUCUCGUUUUUCUCGUGUACAAAACUCACGCAGCACUGCAUAUAUAUGCAUCAACCUCGCUAGCAAGCCGACUCCAAACACCAAUCCCAAUCCUACUCGUACUCAAACUUACCUAAACUAAGCUCACGGUAACGCUGAUCAUGAACACUAACCAAACUAACACAUACCUAUUUGGAUUACUCUAACAUUCCCUGCCAAGCCACCACCAGCUAUUGAUCAAUGCCAACAAGGACAACGAUGACACUAGGAAGUUCGUGGUCACACGCUCCCAACCCACAAGUACAGGGGUGGUGGAGCCACUCGCAAAGAGGCCGACGAGCUUCGCAAGGAGGAGGCCCGCAAUGGCCCAACAGAGGAACACUCUGGUAGGCCUCGCGGCGAGCCCACCGGAGGGAGCUCGGGCGAACCUCGCGGGAGGAACGGCCGUAGCUGCCCCACGGAAUAUGAGGAAGAGGCGUUGGCCCCAAACUGACGGGAAGUCCUUGUGCCAUAAUUCCUCCUUUGGUUUUUUUGCCUUCUGCCUCUUGGGAUCCGGGGCUGAGUCCUUGUGCUUUGCAGCGAGUCCACACGGAAGAAGAGAGCGGCCCCUGCUCCGAAGGAGGCCACAACACCCACUGCAUGCUCACAAGCGACAAAGACCUAAGAGGCCCAUGCUCGCCCUGAAGGCUGUGAGAGGUGACGGCAGGGAACACGGUGGCAAAUGAGGGAAGCAUGCCUACUCCUGAGACACGGGUGGUACCGCCUCUCUCAUAUGGAGGGAAUGAUCCUUGGGAGGUGACCUCCGAAGGAGAUGACCUCCCGUCGGAUGCACCGGACGCUGGAAUCGAGGCCGGAAUGGACAAGGUUGAAGAGCCCAACCCUCUGGAGCGCUCCACACCCGCCAUGGAGGCUAAUGCCAAAGCGGAGGCUAUGGUGAGCCCCCGGUGCUUGCCUAUGUGCCAGGCCAUUGAUGCCGCCGCGAUGAGCCCGCAACCCGCACCUGCGCGAUAAAUUGAAGAUGAGGCCGCGAGAAGCCCCCAACGCUGGAUGGAGGAUCGGACCCUUGCAGGGAGGAAGGGCAAGGUGACUGUGAAGGGGGAUGGUCUUGGUCCCUUGGAAGCCAUGAUGGUGGACGGCGGUGCGGACCCGCACUCCAACAGGGCACCGCAGGUGUUGAGCUACAACGCCAUGCUCCAAUGUGGAGCUUUGUGGGGGUGCCAGGGCGGCCCACGAGGCGCUUGAGGUAGACAUCUAGGUGAAGGAGACAUGUGUCGCCGACGAGUGUCUGUGCCUUGCGGAAGGGUGGAGACAACUUGACGUGGCCAUCAAGCUGGGCUACCGGCAGGAGGACACCGCACGGGAGCGACAUGAAAAUUGAACCCGCGAUGAAAAAGAGAUCUUCAAGAGCGUUGUGAGAGAUGCCGACGAAGCCGACAAGUGUCGCGAUGAGGUGGAGUAUGUUGGAAAUAUGAGCAAUUUAUCAAAGGAUUUUAUUAGAAGAAAAGCUAGGAUAAACAUAACCAUCAUAAUAAAGACGGAAGAAGGGAAGCGAUAUAGAGAUGAAAUGACAAAAAACAUGUGCACAUAUGAUCUAGAAAAGAACAUAUGUGUGACCGUUCUAUAUAGACAAGGUAUCAUAUGAAGUGAUGAACAGAAAUAGAACAUAUCUAGAAGAGAUACUAUAGCAAAAAGUUACCCUAGAAACUAAAAUAAGAAGAACAUGAGUACGUACUGAGUUGUAGCAGCAGUAGGAUUGGUGUUGUGUUGUCAUUGGCCAUGUUACCACGGAGGUGGUUGACGUCGGCGCAGUAGUCGUCGUCCGGGAAGAAAUCGUCGGUGUUCGUGAUGGAAGCUAGUAGUCGCGCUGAGCGCUCCCCAAAAACCUUAUCGCCCUUCUCCCGUACAGGACUCGAAGAGACGGAGUUUCGGAGGCCUACUGUCCCGACGAACGGUGCACGCCGCAAGACGGGAUGGGGAAGAACGCAGCAGCAGCACAGAGAAAGGAACCGGUGGUGGCGAGUGGGAACUUAUGAUGCGUCAUCUCUAGAGAGGAGCGACCUCUCUUUUAUAGGCGCAGGAGAAGGAGGCGAGAGGCCAACGAUUCGCUUUCAAUAUCCACUAGCAAAAACGUUCAGCUUCUUCGAGUGGACUUUCGUAUACCAGUCGUGCGUGGCAAAAAUUUAGUUCGGCUCGGCUCAUUCCCGCAACCCGCGGCGAGGCGAGGCGGGCGGCGGAGGAGGAGGAGCGCGCGUGUAUGUCUCUCUUAUUCUCAAGCUCAUACAUGUGUGGAAACAUCCUCCCUUAUAAGGAGGUCCAACUCCCACUAAACUAGCAAUGUGGGACUAAACAUUUUCACCUCUUGCCUUGCACAAAUGGGUUGCGUGGGCCUCUAGAAUUUAUUAGGAAUUUUCUUAAAUCAUAUAUAUUGGGCUGGCCCAUAUUUGGACAAAAUUACAGCAAUCCCCUACCAGAUCCCAGAGGCACAGAAAAUUUGCCUUUGGUUCCAAGACACUGUUUUAUAUACCGAUACUGCAGUGGAGACUGUUAAGUUGAACUUCCACCUAGAACUCUAUGCUACACUAGUAAGCAACUUGAACAGUUGACUAGGCCUUGAACUGCAAGUUUUCUGCGAAACUGGCUUCACACAAAGGUUUGAUCGAUACUAGGAUACUGUGGGACUUCCCCGCGGAUGGAGCUUAUGCGUCAUACUCCGAGACCUUUCCUGAGUUUACUAAAGAGCACCUGUAGUGCCCCAAGUGUAAAGCUUUCCCUUUUUGUAACCUUCCAUGUGGGACCACCUUGACAUUGUCAUGAGAGCUAUCUAUGCAUGUAUGAUUUCAUGUGUCACCUUGUAUUUCUUCUUUUGCAUGCAUGCAUCCAUGCCAUACCAUUCUUACCAUGCCUUGUUGUGCUUGAAUAUAUACCUUGCCAUGUCAUGUUGUGAUCUUGUGAAUUCAUCUGUGAUGCUCAUGAGAUGUGGGGGUGAGUAGAAGUGAUCUGGUGGUUGUUUACUUCAAAACCCUUUUCUAAUUCAAAAACCCCUUUUCUCUCUUUUAAUCUCAAGUUCAAAUUCCACUUGCUCCUAAGCUGAUUUAAAAACGUCUUUUGUUUAGGAAAUAAUGUGGGUAUAUUGGGGUGCUAAAUUUGUUGUUUUGAAAAGUGUUCUAAAGGUGCAAAAUAAACACAAAACAUAAACUAUAAUGCUGUUUUGUAUUUAUUAGUUUGCCCCAAAAAUUCCUUUAGUAUUUUAUUUAAAUGGGGUAUUUAUUUUCAGGUCCAGGGGCAUUUUUGUUUUGUUUUUAUCUUCAAUGGUUUGCCCUGUGGGCCUUUUCUUUUCUUUGUGCUUUAGUUAAAUAGGAAAUAGCCAGAGUUUGCUUUUUCUCUUAUGUGUCGCUCUGGUGGGCUUCCUCCCAGCCAGAGAGGCCCAUCUCCCCACCUGUCCUGUGCGCUAGCCCAAUCCCGCGUCCCUCUCUUCCUCCUCUCGACGUCAUCUCUGUACGACUGCAUUUCCUCCUCCCGUUCCUCCAUAGGGCGAUCCCGUGGUCAAGCGCCCUCCCCGAGGUAAUAUAAGACGCAGGGAACCCACCUCGUUCCCUAGGUUUCCCUCUCCUUCCUCCAGUGCGCCGCCACCUUCUCUCUUCUUCUUCCCCCUCUGGUAAGCCUCUGUACGAGUAGUAGAGAGAGAGAUCAGCCCCGCCGCGUCUACCCCGCCGUCUCCGUCGAGCAGCGCCGGCGGCCAUGUCCAGGAGCACGGGGUAGGAGCCCGCGCUCUAUUCCCGUCCUCUGUGAGGCCGGGCAGCGACCUCAUCCACGGGCAGCUCCACGUCAACGUCGCGCUCUCGGUGGACUCCCUCCCUAUUCCUCUGCUUCGGUUCAACGACAGGGGCUUCUUCAUCGGCAAUCUUCUUCCCCUCCAGCGACUUCUCCAUCGAUCGACGCCCUUCCUCCUUCCCCUAGGUGAGCAGGAGCUCCUCCCUCCUUCCUCCCUCCUUCUCGCCGCUUAGACCGAGCAGGGGCUCGCCGGAGUAGUUUCUGCCAGGAAGAGAUUCGGCGCGCUAGAUGUAUGUUGGGUGUAUUGUUGGCCUGUGUGCGUUAGGGUUGUGGCCUAGAAGGGGCUUCUCCCCCCUUGUAGCGAUCUGUGGUAGGGCCCUCCUCUGGGCGCAGCAGCAACAGUACCGAGGCAUGCCCGGCAACCUCCCUGUCGCGGGCAGCCUCUGUAGGCAGAGCAAGAACUCCUGCUAGCAUUCCUUGCACGCGUGCCCUUCUAUGUCAGUAUCCUUCCCCGUAGCAUAGUGGUACCGCUCGUCGUGUGCCUGUUGGAAGGCGUGGGUUCGAAUCCCCCUUGGCACCCCUUUUUAUUUUGCAUUUCUUCGGCACAGUAAGCCACUAGGGACAAGUUUCCUUGCUUGUGCAUCUCUCUCUGUCGAGCAAAGGCUGGUAGCAGAGUGGUGUUGGUCUGAUGUGGUGACCCAGGGGAUGUGGGAUCGAAUCCCUCCCCUGCCGUUUUAUUUUUGUUGUUGUUGCAAUGUAAAUCUGUUUUGCUAUGCGUUGUUUGUUUAGUUGCUGCAGAGGCAUGGCCUCAUGUGGGUGUUUUAUCCACUCACUUCAGUAUGUAGUUCCUAGUGUUUGAUGCUAGCAAGAGUAUGGUGCAUGGUAGAUAUAAGUUGUGAAGGCAAGCAUGCAUAUAUCUGAGAGCAUAUAUAUGUGUGUGUGUGUGUAAGUAGGUGUGUGUGUGCACCUUGUGAGUGUUUGUCACCAAGUGGUGAUGUAUAUGUAGGGGGUGAGCCUUGUGAAUGAAAGUGGAUCUUAAUCACUAGCUUGUGCAAGUGAUGUGUUGUAUGUCUCUGGAGAAAACAGCCGCACUUGCAACUUGCGCACCUCGUCAUGUUAAUAUGAGAGAGGGCAUGAUGUGUGUGUGUGGGUGAUCUUGUGGUAGUAGUGUUUGUGAUGUUGUUGUGCAUAACACAAACAUGGGGUCCAAACCCUCAUGUCCAUAUUGUCUUUGUGCACAUGAACAUAGCUAUGUGGUAGUUGAUCUAGUGUGUGCACAUGAAAUGUUGCACUAUUCCAUUUGUAGGAAUAUAUGUAGUUUUUCCCUCCUAGUUUGUGGCCACUUGCUCCAAACAAGUGCAUGCAUAUUUUAUAUGAGUUUGGGGUAGAAAGAUACCAAGAAUCCAUUGGAGCAAUCAUUUAUGCCAUUGGAACAUUUUCUGGAGAUGACAUAUUUUCAUUUUCUUCUAUGUUUAGAGCUUGGUUCCAUGAGUUGUGAUGUGCUCUUGUAUUUGUUUCUUGGUUGUGGUAGUAGAGGGUGACCCCCUCUACCACAUGUUGGUUUCAAUCCAUGAUUUGGAAUUCAUGUGUGCAAGUUGUGCUCAUCCAAAGUAGGCAUGCGCUGAAAUUCCAGAUUAGUGAAAAUCUGAGAUUUUCACUAAGUCUGAGAAUCUGUUUAUAUUUUGUUCUCCUGUUGAUGAGGUUGUGCAGAUCAAUGUAUUGUGAUCUAGCCUUAGCUUUCAACUAGAAAGUUGGACCUGAUAUGUUUUUCUAGCUCCCUGUAAAAGUUCAAGUCAUUUUGAGUCCUGUAGAUAUUGUAUUGGAUGCUGUCAAAAUGCUUCAGAGCAUAGACAGAAAGUGAGAAUCUGGAAUUUUCACUAAGUCCCUGAAAACUGAUGUUUUUGGGCAAGUUUGCAGCCUUAUAACUUUCUGUGUUUAAUUACUUUUUGUGUGAUCAUUGCUUGUGCUUUUAGUAUUCUUGGAUAGCUACAGCCACAUAUAUUAUUUGUCAUAGUUGGGUGGCUGUAGAUGCUUUGCAUGUAGCUCACAAAGUGCUAUGAUGCAGUUUAUGGCAGAUUGAGUAGUUUUGUCAUUUUGAUGUUUGUGAGUGCUUAGUUGAUGUUGUGGUGUUAUUAUUUGCUCCACCCCAUCCAUGAUGGUUUGUUUUAUGUCUUGGCAACCUGGGAAUACCAGAUUUGUGCCAAUUGAGUGUGUGGUGAUGAUUUUGCUACGUAGGGCUUCAUAUCUUGUUUCGUUGAAUCCCGUUGAUGCGUAGCUCCGAUUGUAAUGUUCUUUAUAUGGUUUUGCAUCGUUUUCAUGAGAUGCAUCUGAUCAUGUCAUUCUCAUGCAUGUCAAAAUAGGUUAGCAUGCAGUUCUGUCCAGGAACAUGUAUUUACUCCUUACGCUUGUGCUAGUGAUAGAAAUAGUGACGCAUGCUCAUAUUCAUCUCUUGCAUCAUGUGCUUGUUGCAUCUUGAGGUGCUGUUGUUCAUUGGAUGUUAUUGUUAUGUUGGGUAGCACUAGGAUCGGAGAACGAAUACGUGGAGUCAGGAGAGUACGUGCAGGACGAUCAAGAACCAUUCCAAACUGAGGAUAUCACAGGCAAGAUGAUAUGACCUUGAUUCCAUCUCUAGACUUGUUAUGCUAGAUUACAUUUCCUUGUCAUAUGCUCGCUGCCUACCACUGAAAUAUUUGCCCCUUGAUAUGCCAUGAACCCAAACACCGAUCCCUUCCUAGCAAACUUGAAUGGCUAAGUAGGCUUUGCUCAGCUACUAAUGUUAGCGUUGUUAGAUGCAGGUGCUUUGACUCAUGUGAUAACAUGAGCUUGAUAUCAUUAUCUUAAAUUCUGUUAUUUAAUUAAUGCACAUAUAUACUUGGUAAAUAACGGAAGGCCUGGCCUUUUGCCGGGUGCUUUGUUCCGUUAUUGCCGCCAUAGUUACCGGCUACCGGUGUUUGAUUCCAUAUUGAUCGCUCCUAACACGUUCCGGGUUGUUAUGGGGACCCCCUUGAUAAAUCGCGUAGUGUUAAGACUUGUCCGGCAGGACCCACCAUUGGUGUUAAUUUGCUAAUCACUUAAUAAUAAUCUGCAUAGGGAAUAACUACCCCGAGGAAUUUAAUCAACAACCCGGGCCAGUGCUCCUCAUGAGUGUUGGUCCAAACUGGGAAGACUAUGGGGCCACCACAGGGCAACCUAAGGUUUGGUAUACCUAUAGUGUGACUCAUCCGGCGUGUCCUGAGACUGAGAUACGCGACUCUUAUCAGUGUCGUCGACACGUCGGGAGGUCCUGCUAGUCUUGUCUUACCUUAGCGAUAUAUCUUGCGUAUAGAAAUCCCGGUGAAGCUUUGGUUCUCCCCAGAGUUGAGGUUUUCCUCUAAGGAAUCUGACGAGAUCAUGAGAUUCGUGAUAGAGGAUUACUUUGCGGCCUAUGUACGUUUGUGAUGGACUAGUUGGAGCACCCCUGUAGGGUUUAAUCUUUCGAAAAGCCGUGCCCGCGGUUAUGUGGCAACUUGGAAUAUUUUGUUAACAUCCGGUAUUAGAUAACUUAAACACAAGCUAAUAAAAUUGCCAACUGUGUGCGUAACCGUGAGUGUCCCCUCGAAGAUCUCUCUUCGAUCGGGAACAAGGUGGGGUUAUGAAUGACGUAGGUAGGUGUUCAGGAUCACUUAGUGAUCAAGUAUUCUCGACCGCUAGUAUAGACCACCUUCAAAAAUGUGCUAUGUAAGUUAGCCACCAUAUCAAGCUUAGGAUGCUGCAACCUUAAACACUCUACCCUAUCCAACCUAGUAACUUGACUAGUUCUGGUACCAAGGUCUUACAUUGUUGAGUCCCAGUGGCUCACGGAUUCCUACACAAUACCAACAGGUUCAAGUACCCAGAGACAGAUGAUCCUGACGGCACGCAGCUGGCGUGGCAGUACGAUGAGGAGACAGACCGCCUGUACGUGAACUAUCUAGAAGAUUGAGGCGUGGUCGUGAUCGUGGGCCAGCAGGCAGGGUAACAUAGCCUUUUCUCCUGUUUUGUAGUCCGUAGCAGAACUACUUUGGUUGUAUGCGUGAUGUACUCUUAUAUAUUUAUGAGAAGGCAAUUGAACCCCUGAUUGUCUAUGUUUUAUUAUUAUGUAUGUGAUGUGUUACCUGUUUGCGAGACGCUUAGAUGCGCUCCUUUCCAAUUCAGGGCCUCGAUCCCCAGAUCGGAAAUGACCGCAUCUUGGUCGGUACAAGUUGGUAAUCAGAGCCUUACGACCAUAGGAUCCUUUGUGUGAUCGUACUUGGCCGAGUCGAGUCUAGAAAUGUUUUGAGUCUUAGUUAUAUCGGAGAGUAAGAUUCUUUUUUCUCCUCUUCCAUGCUCUGGUGAGGUUCCCGACUUAGGAAAUCUUGAAUUCUACUCCUCUUGCCGCUCAAAUUAUUUUUAGGAUCAUGCGGGUAUUUGUGAAAUCUAUAUGAUUUCGAUGUGACGGAGUCCUGUCUUGGUGCCUCCUCUCUGCUUUGAGUUUCUUCCGGGGAGUUGAGCUCCAAGGGAUUCUUGCGCACAUCACCAUCAUUCAGAUUUCUGAGUAUCUAAGAACGAAGGAUGUUCGUAAUUGCUUCAAUACUGGUAGUGGCGAGAUAACCCCGAUGUCCCUAGUACUGGUGCAGAUUGUUCGGGAGUACUGCCAUACUUAGUAUCGUUGUGAUCAUGAGGGUCUGUUGUAGAUGAAGGUCCGAGAUGCUGGUUGUGUGUUGACGGAUGUGAUACAGGUGACGGGUUAGUAUAGGAGUUGUGUGAUAUUACUCCUUGUAUCCGUGUACCAGAUUGCAUGACCAGUUAUUUUGGGAAUUCAUAGGUGGAAUAUCACGUAGUAUCUUAUAGGACUAUCUUCCUACACAUGCAUGAUUGAGGUUGGGAUUCGAUGUUCAGUGGGUACGUUUGUUGACGGUCGUCUUACAACGGUUCUUGUUGUGUCUUAAAGAGUCCUUGUAGCUCACUACGACUCGGGGAUACUUCGUAUGUCGUGUGCACUGCCUUGCACAUGAUGGCUAUUGUAAAUGCGAGCCCGUGCGGUCUUAUCCACGAAGAUAUCGGGUGAAAUCUCGAUCAUAUGUUUGUUCCGAGCAGUUCUAGCUCAUACUUGUUUGCAGUGGUGUUAAUCGAAAUUUUGUCGUCUGUCACUUUGAGGAAGCAUUCUUACUAUUUGGUUCGAGUGCAAUUGCUUAUUCCUGUUCAGAUAUUCCUGUCUUUUGAUUCAGCAAUAUCUUCAAGUUAUUCUGUGGCUAAUAUGCUGUCCGUCUUCAGGAUGGCUCCACCUACUCGUCAGAACCCAGGGCGUGAGGAUAUGCCGCCUCCACCUCCUCCUCCGGAGAACCCUCCGCCGCCGCCGCCUCCUCCUGCAGAGGCCUGGCAAGCAGUGAUGGCUGCUACUAAUGCAAACACCCAGAUGCUGCUACAGUUGCUGCAAGAGAGAGCCAAUCAACAGCAAGGCAAUUUUCAGCAUGGUGGAAAUCAGUUUGCGAGUCUGAGUCAGUUCCUGUCAAACCAGCCAAAGACGUUCACUUCAUGCGACCAGCCAUUUGAUGCAGAAGAUUGGAUCCGUGAUAUGAACAAACAUUUCGAGUGUAGCAAUGUGCGUCCGGAGGAUUAUGUCAAGUUUGCAACGUUCUAGUUGAAGGGGCAGGCUUCUAUAUGGUGGCAGCAGCUGAAGGACUCCAGAGGCGCCAGGGUGAUGUCUUGGGAUGAGUUCUGUCGUGACUUCAGGUCCCACUACAUCCCUUCAAGUUUUGUGGAGGAGAUGCGUGAGAAGUUCAGGCGUUUGAAGCAGGGUGGCAAUUCUGUGUACAAGUACAACGUUGAGUUCCACGAGUUGGCCCGUUACGCGCUGCAGGAUAUCCCGGAUCAGAAGAGCAAGAUUUAUCAGUUCAGGGGUGGCUUGAAAGAAGAUUUGCAGUUAGCUCUUGCCUUGCACGAUCUCGAGGAGUUCGACAAGUUCUACAACCUAGCUCUCAGAGCAGAGGCAGCCUUGCUGAGGGUGGCGAAUUCUAAGAAGCGCUUCAGAGAUUCCAGCUCUUCCUCGACUCAGGUGGUUCAGAAGCAACAUAAGUUGUGGGUGUCUCCUCCUCCUCCUCGGCACUCGCAGCAGCUCAAGCACUCAGGUGGUCGUGGUUCUUCCCACCCACCCAACCCUGUCUUCCAGCAGAGAUUCCAGCACCAGAAGCAAGGGCCUCCUUAGACUCAGUACUGACAGCCAGUAGAUUUCACUUGUCACAAGUGUGGGCAGAAGGGUGACUAUGCCAACAAGUGUACUUCUCAGCUCCGUCUGCCGCCUCCUCCUCUAGGCAAACCUCCAUGCAACGCUCUUGUCAAGUUCAACCCCAGAUCAGCUCGAGUCAACAUGGUGAAUGCAACUGAAGUAGAAAACUCGUCAGAUGUGAUUAUGGGUAACCUCCUCGUCAAUGAUAUUCCUGCUAAAGUGCUAUUCAAUUCUGGUGCAUCGCAUUCUUUCUUGUCAUACCCUUUUGCGGCAAAGCAUGAUUUCCAUCUUCAAGAGUUGGCUAAGUCUUUGGACAUUGUUUCUCCGGGCAUGCUUAUGAGUUCUUGUUGGGUUGUUCCGGAUGCUUCUGUCAAGAUAGGAAGUUAUUAUUUUCUGGCCUCACCGUAUGUCUUGGACAAUUCCGACAUCGACUUGAUUCUUGGUAUGGACUGGCUGGCCAUGAACAAGGCAUCAAUUGAUUGUGAAGCCAAAGAAGUGAAGCUUACCCACUCUUCGGAAGACGUGAUUAUAUUCACGGCGCGCGAUGAUACAAUCCGUCUGUUCUCCUUGAAUGAAAAGGGUGAGAUCAAUCCUAUUUUGCAAGUCCAAGUGGUGUGCGAAUAUGAAGAUGUGUUUCCUGAAGAGUUGCCAGGCAUGCCUCCGCACAGAUAAGUUAAGUUUGUGAUUGAGCUAGAGCCAGGCACACAGCCAGUGUGCAAACGGCCGUACAAGCUGCAUCCAGAAGAAUUGAAGGAACUUAAGAGGCAACUCGAUGAGCACCAGCGUUUGGGUUUGAUCAGACCGAGCUCGCCUCCGUGGGGCUGUGGUGUUCUGUUUGUCAAUAAGAAGGAUGGCACGGACCAGCUUGUGUCGAUUACCGUCCAUUGAAUAAGAAGACAAUCAGGAACAAAUAUCCACUUCCGAACAUAACUGAGUUGUUCGAACAGUUGAAAGGUGCUAAGGUCUUCUCCAAGCUUGAUCUCAGGAUGGGCUAUCAUCAAAUUCGCAUUUGCGAGGAAGAUAUUCCGAAGACUGCCUUCAGGAAUAGUUUUGGCUCGUAUGAGUAUACGGUCAUGUCUUUUGGUCUGGCAAAUGAUCCUCCGACAUUCUGUCGAUUGAUGAACUAUAUAUUCUCUCCGUUCAAGAAUGACUUUGUCUUGCUCUAUCUCGACGACAUUCUGGUCUUUUCUGAAACUAAGGAAGAACAUGAAGAACAUCUCAGGUUGGUGCUUGAUAAGCUGAGAGAGUACAAGCUGUAUGCCAAGUUUUCCAAGUGCGAGUUCUGGAUGAAAGAAGUGGUGUAUCUUGGGCACAUUAUCUCUGCCGAGGUCAUUAAAGUUGAUCCGUCCAAAGUUCAGGCCAUUGUUGAAUGGGAGCCUCCGCAGAAUGUGAAGCAGCUUCGAAGCUUUCUCGGGCUUGCUGGAUAUUGCAUAAGGUUCGUUGAGAACUUCUCCAAGAUUGCCAAGCCACUCUCAAGUCUUCUUCAGAAGGGUGUUAAGUAUGCUUGGUCUCUAGAGUGUCAACUGGCCUUCGAUACACUCAAAGAGAAGCUUACCUCCACUCCAGUCUUGGUCCCUCCGGAUGAUUCCUAGCCGUACCAGGUCUUCUGCGACGCUUCUCUCCAGGGUCUAGGUGCAGUCCUAAUGCAAGAUAAGAAGGUGGUUGCUUAUACCUCCAGGCAGUUGAAGCCAGCGGAGAAUAACUAUCCCGUGCAUGAUCUUGAGCUAGCAGCUGUGGUACACGCUCUGAUGACUUGGAGACACCUCUUGUUGGAACUUAAGGUUGAAGUCUUCACCGAUCACAAGAGUCUCAAGUACAUCUUCACUCAGCCUAACUUAAAUCUUCGGCAAACACGUUGGGUGGAAAUGCUCCAGGAUUUUAAUCCGAGUGUUGAGUACACACCAGGCAAAGCUAAUGUCGUGGCGGAUGCUUUGAGCAGAAAGGCAUAUUGCAACAGUCUGAUUCUGCAACCUCUCUAGCCUGGUCUUUGUGAGUCUUUCAGGAAGCUCAACCUUCAGCUAGUAUCUCAGGGAUUUCUUGCAAACCUUCAGAUCUCUCCUACCUUGGAAGAUCAGGUCCGAGCAGCACAACUUCUUGACGCUAUGGUGAAGAAGGUCAAGAUUGGUGUGGGAAAGAGUCUCCCCAAAUAUAAGUGCUUCACUAUCGAUGCUAGAGACACGUUGUUUUUUGAGGAUCGCCUUGUCGUACCGAAAUGUGAUCUCAGGAAGGUAAUCAUGGAGGAAGCUCAUAACUCUCUGCUCUCUAUUCAUCCUAGAAGCUCCAAAAUAUACCAUGACUUGAAGCAGACCUUCUGGUGGACUCGUAUGAAGCGCGAGAUUGCUCAGUUCGUAAAUGAAUGUGAUGUAUGUCGAAGGGUGAAAGCAGAGCAUCAACGCCCAACAGGCCUGUUGCAGCCGUUGCCGAUUCCCGAGUGGAAGUUUGAUCACAUUGAGAUGGAUUUCGUCACCGGGUUUCCGAAGUCCAAGAAGGGUAAUAAUGCCAUCUUCGUCGUCAUCGACAAGUUGAGUAAAGCGGCUCAUUUUCUUCCAGUCAAGGAGUCCAUUUCAGCAGCUCAGCUGGCAGAGUUGUACACCUCCAGGAUUGUCUCUUUGCACGGCGUGCCUAUAAUGAUCUCUUCAGAUCGCGGAAGUAUCUUCACUUCCAAGUUCUAGGACUCCUUUCAGUCUGCUAUGGGCACGAAGAUCCGCUUCAGCACAUCGUUCCAUCCUCAGACUAGUGGUCAAGUGGAGAGAGUGAAUCAAGUUCUUGAGGAUAUGCUGAGAGCCUGUGUUAUCUCUUUUGGCAUGAAGUGGGAAGAUUGUGUGCCUUUCGCGGAGUUCUCUUAUAGCAACAGUUAUCAAGCUAGUUCUGGCAAGGCUCCGUUUGAAAUUCUCUAUGGCAAGAAGUGUCGUACCCCGCUCAACUGGUCUGAGACCGGCGAGCAUCAGGUCCUUGGGAAUGAUAUGAUAGAAGAGGCUGAGGAGAUGUGUUGGAUCAUUCGCGACAACCUCAGAGCAGCUCAGUCCCGUCAGAAGAGCUAUUAUGAUAGCAAGUACCGUGACAUGUCUUAUGAGCUUGAUGACUUCGUCUAUCUCAAGGUGUCGCCUAUGAAGGGUGUGCAACGCUUUGGCAUCAAAGGCAAGCAUGCGCCUCGUUUCAUUGGUCCGUUCAGAGUGGUUGGCAAGAGAGGCGACCUUGCGUACCAGCUCGAGCUUCCGGCAAACUUUGCAAAUGUCCAUGAUGUGUUCCAUGUUUCUCAGCUUCAGAGGUGUUUCAAGACCCCCGAGCGCACUGUUCAUCUUCAAGACAUCAACCUUCAGCCUGACCUUUCUUAUCGUGAGCAUCCAGUUGCGGUUCUCGAGGCAACUGACUGCAAGACCUGCAACAAGACCGUCAAAUUUCUCAAAGUGCAGUGGUCACACCAUUCCGAUAAAGAGGCUACUUGGGAACGCGAGGAUCACCUCCGUUCCAAAUUUCGCGAUUUCUUUCAGCCUUAGAUCUCGGGGCGAGAUCUUUUUUGUAGUGUGGGAGAAUUUGUAGUGCCCCAAGUGUAAAGCUUUCCCUUUUUGUAACCUUCCAUGUGGGACCACCUUGACAUUUUCAUGAGAGCUAUCUAUGCAUGUAUGAUUUCAUGUGUCACCUUGUAUUUCUUCUUUUCCAUGCAUGCAUCCAUGCCAUACCAUUCUUACCAUGCCUUGUUGUGCUUGAAUCAAUACCUUGCCAUGUCAUGUUGUGAUCUUGUGAAUUCAGGUGUGAUGCUCAUGAGAUGUGGGGGUGAGUAGAAGUGAUAUGGUGGUUGUUUACUUCAAAACCCUUUUCUAAUUCAAAAACCCCUUUUCUCUCUUUUAAUCUCAAGUUCAAACUCCACUUGCUCCUAAGCUGAUUUAAAAACGUCUUUUGUUUAGGAAAUAAAGUGGGUAUAUUGGGGUGCUAAAUUUGCUGUUUUGAAAAGUGUUCUAAAGGUGCAAAAUAAACAGAAAACAGAAACUAUAAUGCUGUUUUGUAUUUAUUUAGUUUGCCCCAAAAAUUGCUUUAGUAUUAUAUUUAAAUGGGGUAUUUAUUUUCAGGUCCAGGGGCAUUUUUGUUUUGUUUUUAUCUUCAAUGGUUUGCCCUGUGGGCCUUUUCUUUUGUCUGUGCUUUAGUUAAAUAGGAAAUAGCCAGAGUUUGCUUUUUCUCUUAUGUGUCGCUUUGGUGGGCUUCCUCCCACCGAGAGAGGCCCAUCUUCCCCCCUGUCCUAUGCGCUAGCCCAAUCCCGCGUCCCUCUCUUCCUCCUAUCGACGUCAUCUCUGUACGACUGCAUCUCCUGCUCCCGUUCGUCCAUAGCGCGAUCCAGUGGUCAAGCGCCCUCCCCGAGGUAAUAUAAGACGCAGGGAACCCUCCUCCUUCCCUAGGUUUCCCUCUCCUUCCUCCAGUGCGCCGCCACCUUCUCUCUUCUAAUUCCCCCCUCUGGUAAGCCUGUGUACGAGUUGCAGAGAGAGAGAGAUCAGCCCUGCCGCGUCUACCCCGCCGUCUCCGUCGAGCAGCGCCGGCGGCCAUGUCCAGGAGCACGGGGUAGGAGCCUGCGCUCCAUUCCCGUCCUCGGUGAGGCCCGGGAGCGACCUCAUCCAGGGGCAGCUCCACGUCAACGUUGCGCUCUCGGUGGACUCCCUCCCUGUUCCUCUGCUUCGGUUCAACGACAGGGGCUUCUUCAUCAGCGAUCUUCUUCCCCUCGAGCGACUUCUCCAUCGAUCGGCGCCCUUCCUCCUUCCCCUAGGUGAGCAGGAGCUCCUCCCUCCUUCCUCCCUCCUUCUCGCCGCUUAGACCAAGCAGGGGAUCGCCGGAGUAGUUUCUGCCAGGAAGAGAUCCGGCGCGCUAGAUGUAUGUUGGGUGUGUUGUUGCCUUGUGUGCGUUAGGGUUGUGGCCUAGAAGGGGCUUCACCCCCUUGUAGCGAUCUGUGGUAGGGCCCUCCUCUUGGCGCAGCAGCAGCAGUAGCGAGGCAUGCCCGGUGACCUCCCUGUCGCCGGCAGCCUCUGUAGGCAGAGCAGGAACUCCUGCUAGCAUUCCUUGCACGCAUGCCCUUCUCUGUCAGUAUCCUUUCCCGUAGCGUAGUGGUAUCGCUCGUCGUGUGCCUAUUGGAAGGUGUGGGUUUGAAUCCCCCUUGGCACCCCUUUUUAUUUUGUAUUUCUUUGGCACAGUAAGCCACCAGGGACAAGUUUCCUUGCUUGCGCAUCUCUCUCUGUCGAGCAAAGGCUGGUAGCAGAGUGGUGUUGGUCUGAUGAGGUGACCCAGGGGAUGUGGGAUUGAAUCCCUCCCCUGCCCUUUUAUUUUUGUUGUUGUUGCAAUGUAAAUCUGUUUUGCUAUGCGUUGUUUGUUUAGUUGCUGCAGAGGCUUGGCCUCAUGUGGGUGUUUUAUCCACUCACUUCAGUAUGUAGUUCCUAUGCUAGCAAGAGUAGGGUGCAUGGUAGAUAUAACUUGUGAAGGUAAGCAUGCAUAUAUCUGAGAGCAUACAUGUGUGUGUGUGUGUAAGUAGGUGUGUGUGUCUGCACCUUGUGAGUGUUUGUCACCAAGUGGUGAUGUAUAUGUAGGGGGUGAGCCUUGUGAAUGAAAGUGGAUCUUAAUUACUAGCUUGUGCAAGUGAUGUGUUGUAUGUGUGUGGAGAAAACAGCCCCACUUGCAACUUGUGCACCUCCUCAUGUUAAUAUGAGAGAGGGCAUGAUGUGUGUGUGUGUGGGUGAUCUUGUGGUAGUAGUGUUUGUGAUGUUGUUGUGCAUGACACAAACAUGGGUUCCAAACCCUCAUGUCCAUAUUUUUCAUUGUGCACAUGAACAUAGCUAUGUGGUAGUUGAUCUAGUGUGUGCACAUGAAAUGUUGCACUAUUCCAUUUGUAGGAAUCUAUGUAGUUUUUCCCUCCUAGUUUGUGGCCACUUGCUCCAAACAGGUGCAUGCAUAUUUUAUAUGAGUUGGGGUAGAAAGAUCCCAGUAAUCCAUUGGAGAAAUCAUUUUUGCCACUGGAACAUUUUCUGGAGANNNNNNNNNNNNNNNNNNNNNNNNNNNNNNNNNNNNNNNNNNNNNNNNNNNNNNNNNNNNNNNNNNNNNNNNNNNNNNNNNNNNNNNNNNNNNNNNNNNNNNNNNNNNNNNNNNNNNNNNNNNNNNNNNNNNNNNNNNNNNNNNNNNNNNNNNNNNNNNNNNNNNNNNNNNNNNNNNNNNNNNNNNNNNNNNNNNNNNNNNNNNNNNNNNNNNNNNNNNNNNNNNNNNNNNNNNNNNNNNNNNNNNNNNNNNNNNNNNNNNNNNNNNNNNNNNNNNNNNNNNNNNNNNNNNNNNNNNNNNNNNNNNNNNNNNNNNNNNNNNNNNNNNNNNNNNNNNNNNNNNNNNNNNNNNNNNNNNNNNNNNNNNNNNNNNNNNNNNNNNNNNNNNNNNNNNNNNNNNNNNNNNNNNNNNNNNNNNNNNNNNNNNNNNNNNNNNNNNNNNNNNNNNNNNNNNNNNNNNNNNNNNNNNNNNNNNNNNNNNNNNNNNNNNNNUGGACCUGAUAUGUUUUUAUAGCUCACUGUAAAAGUUCAAGUCAUUUGGAGUCCUGUAGAUAUUGUAUUGGCUGCUGUCAAAAUGCUUCAGAGCAUAGACAGAAAGUGAGAAUCUGGAAUUUUCACUAAGUCCCUGAAAACUGAUGUUUUUGGGCAAGUUCGCAGCCUUAUAACUUUCUGUGUUUAAUUCCUUUUUGUGUGAUUCUUGCUUGUCCUUGUAGUAUUCUUGGAUAGCUACAUCCACAUAUAUUAUUUGUCAUAGUUGGGUGGCUGUAGGUACUUUGCAUGUAGCUCACAAAGUGCUAUGAUGCAGUUUAUGGCAGAUUGAGUAGGUUUGUCAUUUUGAUGUUUGUGAGUGCUUAGUUGAUGUUGUGGUGUUCUUAUUUGCUCCACCCUAUCCAUGAUGGUUUUUUUUAUUUCUUGGAAACCUGGGAAUACCUGAUUUGUGCCAAUUGAGUGUGUGGUGAUGAUUUUGCUACGUAGGGCUUCAUAUCUUGUUUCGUUGAAUCCCGUUGAUCCGUAGCUCCGAUUGUAAUGUUCUUUAUAUGGUUUUGCCUCGUUUUCACGAUACGCAUAUGAUCAUGUCAUUCUCAUGCAUGUCAAAAUAGGUUAGCAUGCAGUUCUAUCCAGGAACAUGUAUUUACUCCUUAUGCUUGUGCUAGUGAUAGAAAUAGUGAUGCAUGCUCAUAUUCAUCUCUUGCAUCAUGUGCUUGUUGCAUCUUGAGGUGCUGUUGUUCAUUGGAUGUUAUUCUUAUGUUGGGUAGCACCGGGAUCGGAGAACGAAUACGUGGAGUCAGGAGAUAACGUGCAGGACGAUCAAGAACCAUUCCAAGCUGAGGAUAUCACAGGCAAGAUGAUAUGACCUUGAUUCCAUCUCUAGACUUGUUAUGCUAGAUUACGUUUCCUUGUCAUAUGCUCGCUGCCUAGCACUGAAAUAUUUGUCUCUUGAUAUGCCAUGAACCCAAACACUGAUCCCUUCCUACCAAACGUGAAUGGCUAAGUAAGCUUUGCUCAGCUACUAAUGUUAGCGUUGUUAGAUGCAGGUGCUUUGAUUCAUGUGAUAACAUGAGCUUGAUAUCAUUAUCUUAAAUUCUGUUACUUAAAUAAUGCACAUAUAUACUUGGUAAAUAACGGAAGUCCUAGCCUUUUUCCGGGUGCUUUGUUCCGUUAUUGCCGCCAUAGUUACCGGCGACCGGUGUUUGAUUCCAUAUUGAUCGCUCCUAACACGUUCGGGGUUGUUAUGGGGACCCCCUUGAUAAAUCGCGUAGUGUUAAGACUUGUCCGGCACGACCCAACAUUGGUGUUAAUUUUCUAAUCACUUAAUAAUAAUCUGCAUAGGGAAUAGCUACCUCGAGGAAUUUAAUCAACAACUCGGGCCAGUGCUCCUCAUGAGUGUUGGUCCAAACUGGGCAGACUAUGGGGCCACCACAGGGCAACCUGAGGUUUGGUAUACCUGUAGUGUGACUCAUCCGGCGUGUCCUGAGACUGAGAUACACAGCUCUUAUCAGGGUCGUCGACACGUCGGGAGGUCCUGCUAGUCUUGUCUUACCUUAGCAAUAUAUCUUGCGUAUAGGAAUCCCGGUGAAUCUUUGGUUCUCCCCAGAGUUGAGGUUUUCCUCUAAGGAAUCCGACGAGAUCACGAGAUUCGUGAUAGAGGAUUACUUUGCGGCCUGUGUACGUUUGUGAUGGACUAGUUGGAGCACCCCUGCAGGGUUUAAUCUUUCGGAAAUCCGUGCCCAUGGUUAUGUGGCAACUUGGAAUAUUUUGUUAACAUCCUGUAUUAGAUAACUUAAACAUAAGCUAAUAAAAUUGCCAACUGUGUGCGUAACCGUGACUGUCCCCUCGAAGAUCUCUCUUCGAUCGGGAACACGGUGGGGUUAUGAAUGACGUAGGUAGGUGUUCAAGAUCACUUAGUGAUCAAGUAUUCUCGAUCGCUAGUAUGGACCACCUUCAUAAAUGUUCUACGUAAGUUAGCCACCAUAUCAAGCUUAGGAUGCUGCAACCUUAAACACUCUACCCUAUCCAACCUAAUAACUUGACUAGUUCUGGUACCAAGGUCUUAGAUUGCUGAGCCCCGUGGCUCACGGAUUCCUCCACAAUACCCAGAGACAGAUGAUCCUGACGGCACGUAGCUGGCGUGGCAGUACGAUGAGGAGACAGACCGCCUGUACGUGAACUAUCCAGAAGAUUGAGGCGUGGUCAUGAUCGUGGGCCAGCAGGCAGGGUAGCAUAGCCUUUUCUCCUGUUUUGUAGUCCGUAGCGGAACUACUUUGGUUGUAUGCGUGAUGUACUCUGAUAUAUUUAUGAGAAGGCAAUUGAACCCCUGAUUGUCUAUGUUUUAUUAUUAUGUAUGUGUUGUGUUACCUGAUUGCGAGACGCUUAGAUGCGCUCCUUUCCAAUUCGGGGCCUCGAUCCCCAAAUCGGAAAGGACCGCAUCUUGGUCGUUACACUACCCUACUCUCAUAGAUUGUGACAUUAACAAUCAGACUCAUAUAGAUAUGUUCUUCAAAAGAUGUUCUGGAGGAUAACAUCUCUGCUUCAAUAGGCCACUUAGAACAUAUUAAGAGGUAUAUCAACCUGCCAUGCAGUUUAGGAAGGUAUCGCAUCUUCAUGGAGUGGUAUUAUUAAUGAUAAGGAUACUUUUCUCUCAGUUGACCAACAUCUUGUCUUCCACAUCUAAUUCACGGGAUCUCCGAUCAGAAAGAAUAGGUUACCACUGUGAACAACUCAAAUUGUGGGUCUCAUACCCAUCUCCCUCGAUGCAUUUUCUAUCACAUUACGCGAUAGACCCUUAGUAAAAGGAUCUACCAGAUUUUUAGAUGUUUGGAUAUAAUCCAAUGCAAUAACUCCGGAGUUUCUCAUUUUCCUGACAGAUUUUAACCUUCUAUGAAUGUGUCUUGAUGAGUUCAUGUUAUCCUUUGAGCUGGUCACUUUGGUGAUCACAGUUUGAUUGUCGCAGUUCAUAAGGAUACCCGGUACAGGUUUCUCGAAAACCGGCAAGUCACUCAAGAGCCGGCGAAGCCAAUCUGCUUCGACCGUAGCAGUAUCUAGUGUUGUGAGUUCUGCUUCCAUUGUUGACCUUGUUAAGAUUGUUUGCUUGCAAGACUUCCAAGAAACAGCGCCACCUCCAUGAGUGAAUACAUAUCCGCUCGUGGCCUUUAUCUCAUCAGCAUCAGAGAUCCAGUUUGAAUCACUAUACCCUUCAAGCACCUUUGGGUGUCCAGUAUAGUGAAUUCCAUAAUUUGCAGUGCCUUUCAAAUAAUGCAAAACUCUCUCUAGAGCUUUCCAAUGCACAUCUCCGGGUUUUGAGACAAACCAACUCAAUUUGCUAACAACAAAAGAGAUGUCAGGUCUUGUAGCACUAGCUAAGUACAUAAGCCAACCAAUAAUCUGAGAAUAUUUCAAUUGGUCUCUAGCAAUUCUUCGAUUCUUUCGAAGUAGCACGCUCGCAUCAUAUGGUGUGGGAGAGGACUUGCAGUCACUAUACCCAAAGCGACUCAAGAUCUUUUCCACAUAGUGAGAUUGAAGCAAAGUAAUCCCACCAUCUUCGCCUCUUAACAAUUUGAUGUUCAGAAUGACAUUAGCCACUCCUAAAUCCUUCAUCUCAAAACAGUGAGACAGGAAAUCUUUGACCUCUUUAAUAACAUUCAGAUUUGUUACGAAAAUCAGUAUGUCAUCAACAUACAAGCAAAGGAUAACUCCCUCGCCCCCACCAUGGCGAUAGUACACACAUUUAUCAGCUUUGUUUACAACAAAGCCUGCAGUUGUGAGAGUUCUUUCAAACUUCUCAUGCCACUGCUUGGGUGCUUGCUUAAGUCCAUAUAAAGACUUCAGCAACUUGCAUACUUUCCCUUCCUGACCAUCUACUACAAACCCAUCUGGUUGUUCCAUGUAAAUUUCCUCAUCCAACUCUCCUUUUAGGAAAGCAGUCUUAACAUCCAUUUGAUGAACGAGAAGACCAUGUGAGGCAGCUAGUGAAAGUAGUACUCGAAUAGUGGUCAUUCGAGCCACGGGUGAGUAGGUAUCAAAGAAGUCUUCACCUUCCUUUUGGGUAUAACCCUUAGCCACGAGCCAUGCCUUGUACUUUUCGAUAGUACCAUCAGGCCUAAGCUUCUUCUUGAAUACCCAUUUGCAUCCUAUAGGUUUGCACCCAUAAGGACGAUUAGUGAUGUCCCAAGUUUCAUUUGCCAAGAUGAAAUCCAUCUCACUACGGACUGCUUCCUACUAGUAGUCAGCAUCUUCAGACGCAUAGGCCUCUGAAAUAGAACUGGGAGUGUCAUCUAUGAUAUAUACAAGAAAAUCAUCACCAAAGGACUUUGGAGUCCUCUGUCUUAUGCUCCUGGUAGGAACUUCAUUUGUCUCCUCCACAAUAUUUUCAAAGUGUUCCAUCGAAAUGAUAGGUUCAGUAAUUGUGACUAAUUCAUGGUUUGAUGAAUUAGGCAUCUCCUGAUUAGAUGAGGUAGCUAUAUCCUUCAUGGGAAAGAUAUCUUCGAAGAAAGUCGCAUCAUUUGACUCCAUGAUUGUACCGACAUGCAUAUCAGAUACCUCAGAUUAUAUAACCAAGAAUCUAUAUCCAAUGCUAUGAAAAGCAUAUAGCAGAAAAACACAAUCCACAGUUUUUGGUCCUAGCUUGCGCUUCUUUGGGAUUGGCACAUUGACUUUCGCCAGACAUCCCCAGGUUCGUAGAUAAGAGAGUUUUAACCUUUUAUUUUCCCAUUCCUCGAAUGGAGUUAUCUCUUUGUUCUUUGUGGGAACUCGAUUCAGGACAUGACAUGCAGUUAAUAUCGCCUCCCCCCACCAUGCCUUGGAGAGACCCGAUGUAUCUAACAUGGCGUUAACCAAAUCAGUUAGAGUACGGUUCUUUCUUUCGACUAUCCCAUUUGAUUGAAGUGAAUAGGGAGGCGUCCUCUCAUGAAUUAUACCAUGUUCCACAUAAAAACAAUCAAAUUCAUUUGAGAAAUACUCUCCACCAUGAUCGGACCUAAGCCUCUUGAUCUUUCGAUCAAGUUGGUUUUCUGCUUCAGCUUUAUAGAUCUUGAAAAAGUUCAAAGCCUCAUCCCUAGAUUUCAGAAGAUACACUUGGCAGUAUCUAGUGGAGUCAUCAAUUAGUGUCAUGAAAUAUUUCUUUCCACCUUUUGUCAAAAUGCCAUUCAUUUCACAUAGAUUUGAAUGUAUGAGCUCUAGUGGUGCUAGAUUUCUCGUUUCGGCAGUCGUGUGGGACUUACGAGGUUGUUUGGCUUGCACACAAACUUGACACUUAGAUCCCCUGACGGUGGUAAAGCUAGGGAUUAAGUUCAAUUUGACUAGUCAUGACAUGCAACCAAAAUUAACAUGACAAAGACGUGAAUGCCACACAUUUGAUUCACUAUUGUUGUAAACAUGAUUAACAACUUUAUUGCAAACGUCUGCCAAGGAUAAACGGAACAGGCCUCCUGACUCGUAGCUCUUACCAACAAAAGUUCCAUACUUGGAUAUUACAAAUUUAUUAGACUCAAAGACAAGCUUGUAGCCAUCUCUACAAAAAAGAGAUCCGCUAACAAGAUUUUUAUUGACGGAGGGGACAUAAUGCACGUUGUUCAGCCGCACGAUCUUUCCCGAAGUAAACUUCAGAUCGACCGUGCCAACACCACGAACAGAAGCACGUGAACCGUUGCCCAUCAGGACGGUGGAAGUCCCUGCAGACUGAUAAGAUGAAAACAUGGAAAUAUCACUGCAUAUAUGCACAUUAGCACCUGUGUCAAUCAACCAAUCACGAAAAUGACAUACUAAAAGAAUAGUGGGUAAUAUACCAUACCCAACAUCCUCCAUGUCAGUGUUAGCAAUGACGACAUUAGGAGACUUGCUUCCUUUCCCAUGUUGACGCUUGUCAUAACGAUUAGGGCAGUUAGGUGGGCAAUGAUCAGGAUCUCCGCACACAUGACAAACACCUUUCUUCUUGUCAUUCUUCUUCUUGAAGUUGGUGUGUUGUACAUCCUUGUUCUUCCCAUCGAACUUUGCUUUACCAUCAAACUUGCCCUUGUUCUUGAAAUUGUGGGGCUGGAAGUUUUUCUUCUGUACCAGAUUGGCACUAGAACCUCCCUCAAUAGCUCGAGCACAUGUGUCUCUUGCUCUCACCUUUUCUUCCAUAUCAAGAGUACCAAUGAGAUCCGGAACGAAAAACUCCUGUCUCUUAUGCUUUAGUAAGGUAGCAAAGUUCCUCCAUGAAGGAGGAAGUUUAGUGAUGAUGCCUCCGGCAAUAAACUUGUCCGGUAGCAUGCAAUUGAAGUGUUCAAGUUCUCUUGCAAAUGACUGUAUUUCGUGAGCUUGGUCAACCACGGAGCGCUCUUUAGUCAUUCUGUAGUCAUAGAAUUGUUCCAUGAUGUACAACUCAGUGCCAGCAUCCGAGGCUCCAAACUUGGUCUCGAGUGCAUCCCACAUAUCUUUUCCAUUAUAAGUUGACGUCUAAGCAUCAACUAUGUUCUCACCAAGAACGCUCAAGAGAGCAACCUUAAACAAGGUAUCCAUUUUCUGAAAAGCUAGCUCCUGUUGAGCAUCAUGAUCUCCUUCAGGUUUGCCAAGAGUGGCGUCAUAGUAGCUCAUGGUUUGAAACCAAAGAACAGCUCUCACGCGCCAUCUCUUGUAGUGAACACCCUCAAACAUAGGAGGUCUCAUGGAGGCAGCAAAACCACUCGGGGUAAAUUGCCUAUAAUAAGGUUUUUGGAUUGUUGGAAAUAUGAGCAAUUUACCAAAGGAUUUUAUUAAAAGAAAAGCUAGGAUAAACAUAACCAUCAUAAUAAAGACGGAAGAAGGCAAGCAAUAUGGAGAUGAAAUGACAAAAGACAUGUGCACAUAUGAUCUAGAAAAGAACAUAUGUGUAACCGUUCUAUAUAGACAAGCUAUCAUAUGAAGUGAUGAGCAGAAACAGAACAUAUCUAGAAGAGAUACUAUAGCAAAAAGUUGCGGUAGAAACUGAAAGAAGAAGAAUAUGAGUACGUACUGAGUUGCAACAUCAUUAGGAUUGGUGUUGGCGUUGUCGUUGGCCAUGUUACCAGAGAGGUGGUCGACGUCGGGGAAGUAGUCAUCGUCUGGGAAGAAAUUGUCGGUGUCUGUGAUGGAAGCCAGUAGUCGCGCUGAGCGCUCCCCAAAAACCUUAUCGCCCUUCUCCCGUACAGGACUCGAAGAGACGGAGUUUCAGAGUCCUACUGUCCCGACGAAUGGUGCACGCCGCAAGACAGGAUGGGGAAGAACGCAGCAGCAGCACAGAGAAAGGAACUGGUGGUGGCGAGUGGGAACUUCUGAUGCGUCAUCUCUGGAGAGGAGCGACCUCUCUUUUAUAGGCGCAGGAGAAGGAGGCGAGAGGCCAGCGACGGGAGCCGAAGAGAGCGAUGGGAUAUGAAACGAACACACAUCAGCGACGAAACGACUUGGCUCAAUCCCGCAACCCGCGACGCGUCGUGACGAGGCGAGGCGGGCGGCGGAAGAGGAGGAGCGCGCGUGUAUGUCUCUCUUGUUCUCAAGCUCAUACAUGUGUGUAAACAUCCUCCCUUAUAAGGAGGUCCAACUCCCACUAAACUAGCAAUGUGGGACUAAACAUUUCCACCUAUUGCCUUGCACAAAUGGGCCGCGUGGGCCUCUAGGAUUUAUUAGGAAUUUUCUUAAAUCAUACUAGCAAAAAUGCCCGUGCGUUGCAACGGAAAAAAAACUAUUGUAUUGCUAUUAAAAAAAGGCUAGUAGCAUGUCCAACAAUGCGACACAGGCUCCAUGGUCAAUACACAAUUUUUCCACUGAUGAAUUAAGCCUAAGGAAUUUUUAAUAAAAUUAUAGUUUAACGAUACUCAAUCACCCUUAGUGAAUGUACAUGAUUCAAAAAUGAAGUCACAUGAUUCAAAAAUUAAUAAUAGGACACACACAAAUAAAAUAUUAUGAUUGUGUUUGACAACAAAGUAUGUAUUAUAAGAUUAUAGUAUUUUUGCCUCUGGACCAAUAUACCGUGGUUUUUAUAUCAAAGUAGUUUAAAUUAUCAGUAACACAGAGGUGAGCUAGUUGUUGUAUGCACAAACUUGUAGUAGCCAGCUAGCUAGUUGUGCUACCAUCUUCAUGUUUUAUUUUUCGUAACAUAAUUUUGUAACAAAGUUCACUAUUUUGAGGGUUCAAAAUAACUCAGACAGCUGAAAAAUUACACGCAUAUAAGGCUGUUGCGUACAUAUCCUGUGUGAAAGAGCCGGUCAACACGUCAGCUGGGUCUAGAAGAAACGAGCCGCCUCAUUAAGAACCGGUCAACAUGUCAGCUGAAUUGAGAAGAAGACCAGCCGCUUCGCUGCGCUCCUCAACCCCCGAGAUUCACAUAAGGUCACGACAGUGCUCGGUCCUCGCUGGACUCGUCGUUCGCAGCAAACUCACCGAAGCUCCACCACCCGCUGGGAUCUUCCGCUCCCCAAACAGAGGAGCUAGCUCCGACACGCUCAAGGCCGCCAUCACUCUAGCGCUGACGGCCACUCUCUUACCUCGGUUGUCUCUCUUCCUUUGGGAUUUAUUAGUUGCAGCCACUUUCUAUUAGGCUGCAAUUAAUCUUGGUAAUGUAGUAGUAGAUUCAGCCAGUCUUGAGUCUUCAGAACUCUCCUCCCUAGCUGGGAAUGCAAAUGCUUCUUUCCUAGAUUUUAUGCGCCUCUCUUCAAUCUUAUAUGCAUGUAUGAGCCUGCCUCUUCAAGGUAUAUGUGCGGCUGGUCUCUCUCUUUUUGUUUUUGCCUUGACUUGUUUGAUGUUUGCAACUCAAGAACGUAAGCAGGGUGGGACUAUUGCUUCUUAUUAUCAUAACUUUGUCCGGUUUUGGUGUCGCGGCAAAAAGGACACUGGAGUGCUCGAUAGAUGUCAUUCUACCUCCGGAGAAUUCGAUGCUUCUUCCUCCGACGAACUCGGCAGCGAUGGGCGCGACCGGCAACAGCUCGACGCCGUGCUGCCGCGCCCAAGCCCCCGCAAGGCGGCCUCCAUCCUCCAUCUCCCGAGCACUUCCGCGGCCGCGCGCGGCACCGCCCACUCCUUCUCCACGUGCCCGGGCCUGCUCCGCCGCUCCGGCCGCGAUGCGUGCCCCACUCCAGCCCGACCGUCCGCGUCGCCGUGCCACCCCUGGCUGCUGGCAUCCCGCGUCACCGGAGCAAUUCCUCACGCCACCUGCCAGAUCCCUCCCUCACCUUGCGCCCUGCUUCUCCUUUUUCCUCUCUUUCCUCUUUCCAUCACGCCAUGUCUCUCUCUUACAAUGGAGUAGCAGGACACCGCCGCCACCGGAGCAAGCCGCCGCACCACCCGCCGGAUCUCUCGAUACCUCGGCCAGAUCCAUAUGUUUUCAUGUUUUUUCACUUCAAAAGGACCGCAUGUUGAAUAUAGGAAACCACAGGGUUUGCCUUGCAAAAUGUGUAAACGAAACGUUAUUCAACUUAAAAACAUACUGCGGGUUGAAUAGCAAAAACAUCAGGGGCUUUUCUAAAAAAUUACCACGCGACGACGGAUGACAGAAGCAGUAGACGCUUUAUUAUUAGGGAGAGAUAUAUUGGGCUCGCCCAUAUUUGGACAAAAUUCCAGCAAUCCCCCACAAGAUCCCAGAGGCACACAAAAUUUUCCUUUGGUUCCAAAACACUGUUUUAUAUACCGAUACUGCAGUGGAGACUGUUAAGUUGAACUUCCACCUAGAACUCUAUGCUACACUAGUAAGCAACUUGAACAGUGGACUAGGCCUUGGACUGCAAGUUUUCUGCGCAACUGGCUUCACACAGAGGUUUGAUCGAUACUAGGCUACUGUGGGACUUCCCCGCGGAUGGAGCUUAUGCGUCAUACUCCGAGCCUUUCAUGAGUUUACUAGAGAGCACCCUACUCUCAUAGAUUGCGAUGUUAACAAUCAGAGUCAUAUAGCUAUGUUCUUCAAAAGAUGUUCUACAGGAUAACAUCUCUGCUUCAAUAAGCCACUUCGAACAAAUUAAGAUGUAUAUCAACCUGCCAUGCAGUUUAGGAAAGUAUUGCAUCUUCAUGGAGUGGUAUUAUUAAUGAUAAGGAUACUUUCCUCUCAGUUGACCAACAACUUGUUUUCCACAUCUAAUUCACGGGAUCUCCGAUCACAAAGAAUAUGUUACCACUGUGAACAACUCAAAUUGUGGGUCUCAUACCCAUCUCCCUCGAUGCAUUUUCUAUCACAUUACACGAUAGACCCUUAGUAAAAGGGUCUGCCAGAUUUUUAGAUUAUUGGAUAUAAUCCAAUGCAAUAACUCCCGAGUUUCUCAUUUUCCUGACAAACAUUAACCUUCUCUGAAAGUGUCUUGAUGACUUCAUGUUAUCCUUUGAGCUGCUCACUUUCGUGAUCACAGUUUGAUUGUCGUAGUUCAUAAGGAUACCCGGUACACGUUUCUCGACAACCGGCAAGUCACUCAAGAGCCGGCGAAGCCAAUCUGCUUCGACCAUAGCUGUAUCUAGUGCUGUGAGUUCUGCUUCCAUUGUUGACCUUGUUAAGAUCGUUUGCUUGCAAGACUUCCAAGAAAUAGCGCCACCUCCAUGAGUGAAUACAUAUCCGCUCGUGGCCUUUAUCUCAACAUGAUUAGAGAUCCAGUUUGAAUCACUAUACCCUUCAAGCACCUUUGGGUGUCCAGUAUAGUGAAUUCCAUAAUUUGAAGUGCCUUUCAAAUAACGCAAAACUCUCUCUAGAGCUUUCCAUUGCACAUCUCCUGGUUUUGAGACAAACUGACUCAAUUUGCUAACAGCAAAAGAGAUGUCAGGUCUUGUAGCACUGGCUAAGUACAUAAGCGAGCCAAUCAUCUGACAAUAUUUCAAUUGGUCUCUAGCAAUUCUUCGAUUCUUUCGAAAUAGCAUGCUCGCAUCAUAUGGUGUGGGAGAGGACUUGCAGUCACUAUACCCAAAGCGACUCAAGAUCUUUUCCACAUAGUGAGAUUGAAGCAAAGUAAUCCCACCAUCUUCAUCUCUUAACAACUUGAUGUUCAGAAUGACAUAAACCACUCCUAAAUCCUUCAUCUCAAAACAGUGAAAUAGGAAAUCAUUGACCUCUUUAAUAACAUUCAGAUUUGUUCCGAAAAUCAGUAUGUCAUCAAUAUACAAGCAAAGGAUAACUCCCUCGCCCCCACCAUGGCGAUAGUACACACAUUUAUCAGCUUCGUUUACAACAAAGCCUGCAGUUGUGAGAGUUCUUUCAAACUUCUCAUUCCACUGCUUGGGUGCUUGCUUAAGUCCACAUAAAGAUUUCAACAACUUGCAUACUUUCCCUUCUUGACCAUCUACUACAAACCCAUCUGGUUGUUCCAUGUAAAUUUCCUCAUCCAACUCUCCAUUUAGGAAAGCAGUCUUAACAUCCGUUUGAUGAAUGAGAAGACCAUGUGAGGUGGCUAGUGAAAGUAGUACCCGAAUAGUGGUCAGUCGAGCCACGGGUGAGUAAGUAUCAAAGAAGUCUUCACCUUCCUUUUGGAUAUAACCCUUAGCCACGAGCCGUGCCUUGUACUUUUCGAUAGUACCAUCAGGCCUAAGCUUCUUCUUGAAUACCCAUUUGCAUCCUAUAGGUUUGCACCCAUAAGGACGAUCAGAGAUGUCCCAAGUUUCAUUUGCCAAGAUGGAAUCCAUCUCACUACGGACUGCUUCCUUCUAGUAGUCAGCAUCUUCAGACGCAUAGGCCUCUGAAAUAGAACUAGGAGUGUCAUCUAUGAGAUACACAAGAAAAUCAUCACCAAAGGACUUUGGAGUCCUGUGUCUCUUGCUCCUGGUAGGAACUUCAUUGUUCUCCUCCACAAUAGUUUCAAAAUGUUCCAUCGAAAUGAUAGGUUCAGUAAUUUUGACUAAUUCAUGGUUUGAUGAAUUAGGCAUCUCUUGAUUAGAUGAGGUAGCUAUAUCCUUCAUGGGAAGGAUAUCUUUGAAGAAAGUCGCAUCAUUUGACUCCAUGAUUGUACCGACAUGCAUAUCAGAUACCUCAGAUUGUACAACCAAGAAUCUAUAUCCAAUGCUAUGAAAAGCAUAUCCCAGAAAAACACAAUCCACAGUUUUUGGUCCUAGCUUGCGCUUCUUUGGGAUUGGCACAUUGACUUUCGCUAAACAUCCCGAGGUUCAUAGAUAAGAGAGCUUUAACCUUUUCUUUUCCCAUUCCUCGAAUGGUGUUAUCUCUUUGUUCUUUGUGGGAACUCGAUUCAGGACAUGACAUGUAGUCAAUAUCGCCUCCCCCCACCAUGCCUUGGAGAGACCCGAUGUAUCUAACAUGGCGUUAACCAAAUCAGUUAGGAUACGGUUCUUUCUUUCGGCUAUCCCAUUUGAUUGAGGUGAAUAGGGAGACGUUAUCUCAUGAAUUAUACCAUGUUUCGCACAAAAAGAAUCAAAUUCAUUUGAGACUCUCCACCACGAUCGGACCUAACCCUCUGGAUCUUUCGAUCAAGUUGGUUUUCUGCUUCAGCUUUAUAGAUCUUGAAAAAGUUCAAAGCCUCAUCCUUAGAUUUGAGAAGAUACACUUGGCAGUAUCUAGUGGAGUCAUCAUUUAGUGUCAUGAAAUAUUUCUUUUCACCUUUUGUCAAAAUGGCAUUCAUUUCACAUAGAUCUGAAUGUAUGAGCUCUAGUGGUGCUAGAUUUCUUGUUUCGGCAGUCGUGUAAGACUUACGAGGUUGUUUGGCUUGCACACAAACUUGACACUUAGAUACCUUGACGGCGGUAAAGCUAGGGAUUAAGUUCAAUUUGACUAGUCGUGACAUGCAACCAAAAUUAACAUGACAAAGACGUGAAUGCCACACAUUUGAUUCACUACUGUUGUAAACAUGAUUAACAACUUUAUUGCAAACGUCUGCCAAGGAUAAACAGGACAGGCCUCCUAACUCGUAGCCCUUACCAACAAAAGUUCCACACUUGGAUAUUGCAAAUUUAUUAGACUUAAAGACAAUCUUGUAGCCAUCUCUACACAAAAGAGAUCCGCUAACAAGGUUUUUAUUGACGGAGGGGACAUAAUGCACGUUCUUCAGCCACACGAUCUUUCCCGAAGUAAACUUCAGAUCGACCAUGCCAACACCACGAACAGAAGCAUGUGAACCGUUCCCCAUCAGGACGGUGGAAGUCCCUACGGACUGAUAAGAUGAAAACAUGGAAAUAUCACAGCAUAUAUGCACAUUAGCACCCGUGUCAAUCAGGAAAAUGACAUACUGAAAGAAUAGUGGGUAUUAUACCAUACCCAAGUAACUGAUGGCGACUCCCACCUCCGCCCACCUCCCACCUCGGCGACUCCAUGGUGAUCUGAACCUCUAGCCGGUGUUUGAUCCUCUUCCUCCGCUCAUCAUCUCAGGUGAACCUUAACACCCCACCUUUACGUGGUUCCGCAUGGCUUGCAUGGCUGGCUCCACUUUGGAUCUGGAUUUUUCUCCUAGUUUCUCCUUCGCGGAUGAGGUUUAUCGCAUCUAUGGCUUUCCGGUGCAUCCAUUGAAACAUCGUCGCUCUUUCACAAUGGCCGCCUCUUUUGGCCGCCAUGCUUUCCGCCUCUCUGAGGAAUCUGUCGCUACUGCGAUUGAAUCAACUAUUGGAGGUUCCAUCAUUGAACUGAGGGUUUCUCAAGUUGCGAACUUGGUUUUCAACUUCAAGGUCUCUUGCCAACAAGUUGGCUUCUACAUUCUGGAUUUACGCUCAUGCAAAUGCUCAAGUUUUAAGUGUUACUUUCAUCUCUGGGGUUAUGGUGUCCCUAAUUGGCGGCGANNNNNNNNNNNNNNNNNNNNNNNNNNNNNNNNNNNNNNNNNNNNNNNNNNNNNNNNNNNNNNNNNNNNNNNNNNNNNNNNNNNNNNNNNNNNNNNNNNNNACAUGAUUAACAUCUACAUUCACCUCCUUAAUCUUGUUGCUUGACUUCACUUCUUGCACUCCGACUUUCCUCCUCAUCUCGAUGAACUUCUGUCGACCGAGGGACUUGGUGAAAAUAUCGGCAAGUUGGUCUUUCGUGUUCACAUGUUGAACCUCGAUCAACCCUUCUUCAAUGCACUCCCGGAUAUGGUGGAACCGGGUAUCUAUGUGCUUGCUCCUUUCGUGAUGAACCGGAUUUUUGCACAACGAGAUUGCAGCUUGGUUAUCGAUCUUCAGUGACACCUUCUGCACCUCCCGCUUUGCAAGAAUAGCUAGGAGUCUUCUCAGCCACACUGCUUGACAAGCCGCCGUGCUUGCCGCUAUGUAUUCUGCCUCGCAUGAAGACAGUGCCACCACCUUUUGCUUCUGAGAAUUCCAGCUAAUCGGAUUCGGGCCAAGGUAGAAAACCAUGCCCGUUGUGCUCUUUCGGUCAUCAACAUCACCUGCCAUGUCGCUAUCUGAAUAUCCACGAAGGAUCAAUCCUUCCUUUCCCUUUCUGUACGUGCAACCACGAUUAAUGGUGCCUUUCACAUAGCGCAAGAUUUGAUUGACCGCGCUCAUGUGCUCGGUUGUCGGAUUCUCCAUGAAACGACUCACGAUCCCGACUGAAUAAGCCAAGUCAGGUCGGGUAUGCACCAAAUAUCUUAGGCUGCCCACAACGCUUCGAUACAUUGUGGUGUCCACCGGCGGAUUUGAGCUACGCUUGCUCAACUUGUGACGUUGGUCCAUUGAAACUUGUGUUGCGUAGCAAUCUGACAUGCCACACUUGUCCAAUAACUUGACCGCGUAAGCCGAUUGACAUAGGGAAAUCUCUCCGGAGCUUUGCUUCACUUCGAUGCCCAAGUAAUAGCUGAGUAAUCCCAGAUCACUCAUGCUAAACUUGUUCUUCAUUUUCGCCUUGAAACGUUCAAUUUCUUGUACGCUAUCUCCGGUGAUAAUCAGAUCGUCGACAUAAACUCCAACUAGCAGGUUUGAGCCUUUGGAGUUCUUUGUAUAGACUGCGUGCUCGAGGGGACAUCUCUUGAACCCGAGCGAGACCAGACUUCGGUCUAACUUUGAGUUCCAAGCUCUUGGCGCUUGCUUCAACCCGUAAAGUGCCUUCUUGAGCUUGUAAACUUUCCCUUCUUCGCCUUUCUUCUCGUAGCCGAGGGGUUGUUCCACGUACACUUCUUCUGUGAGAUCGCCGUUGAGGAAAGCGGAUUUAACAUCCAUAUGAUGAACCUUCCAAUCCUCUUGUGCUGCCAAAGCUAGGAGCACUCUCACCGUCUCGAGUCGAGCAACCGGUGCAAACACCUCAUUAUAGUCAACUCCUUGACGUUGUACGUAGCCCUUUGCAACGAGUCUUGCCUUGUACUUCACCAUGGCACCUUGUGUGUCUUUCUUUAACUUGUAAACCCACUUCAAACCUAUCGCCUUUUGGUCUGGAGGACGGGUUACCAAGGUCCACGUGUCAUUGCUCUCAAUUGCCUUCAUCUCCUCAUCCAUGGCGUGCGUCCAGCUAGGACUUUUUCUCGCCUCUACGAAGUUCGCCGGCUCCUCAACUCCGAAAAGACAUAGUCCGGAGUAUUCGAGCGUAACUGACUUUGUGUACUUGUAGACUUUCUUGAGGGUCUUGUAGCGACGAGGCCCUGAGGAGUCCGUUGUGGCUUGCGAAGGAGGCGACACAAAUUGUGUCGGUGUUGAUGCACUUGAGGAAGACGGCUGAGACCUUGGUGUGUCAUCGACAUCCGUGUCGUCGGCGUAGUCGUCAUGACCGUGACCAUCAUCUUGAUUGUCGUCGUCACUAUGCGCCUCGUUGUCGAUGUUGUCGUCGAGAUCUCCGCCUGUGUCGUGCGCGGCGUUGUCGCUAUCUCCUGGCGACCUAUGCGCGUCGUCGUCGGUGUCGGCACCAUGAUGAUGACUACCAUUGUGGUCACCUUGGUUGGGCGUCUUGCCAACCACCUGGACAUCCUCCCCUGCAUCAUCAUUAGUUGGAAAUUCAACUGCAAAUAUGUUACUGUUUGGAGCAUCGGUGGCUGCGGCGCUCCAAUUCCACGCUUGGUUUUCUUCAAACACGACGUCGCGUGAAAUCCGUAGACGCUUGGUUUGUGGAUCGUAGAAACGGUAUGCCUUGGUGCCAGAACUGCUCUCGUAUCCGAUGAACACCAUCUUGGUGCUACGAUCGGCAAGCUUUGAGAGGUGCGGCUCCGCCGUCUUCACAUGUGCCACGCACCCGAAUGUCCGUAGAAGAGACACAUUCGGCUUACGUCCGUAAAUUGCUUCAUACAGAGUCUUGCCGAUCACCGCCUUCGUUGGAGCCCGGUUGAGAAGAUAGACCGCCGUCGAGACAGCUUCUCCCCAAAAAGUCCCCGACAGGUUCUUGCUCUUGAGUAAACUCCUUGCCAUGUCAACGACGGUUCGAUUGCGCCUUUCAACGACCCCAUUCUGCUGCGGCGUGUAAGGUGCCGUGAGGAACCUCUUUAUGCCAAUCUUCUCGCAGUAGUCGUUGAACUCAUUCGACGUAAACUCUCCGCCGCGAUCUGUCCGUAGAGCGCGAACCUUCAGCUUGUGUUCCAUCUCUGUUGCAGCCUUUAAUUUCUUGAACGCUUCAAACGCCUCAUCUUUAGAUCGUAGGAGAAUGACCCACAUAUAUCUCGAGUAGUCGUCUACCACAAGGAAGAAAUACUUCUUUCCAGCGUGAGUUGCCGGGGUGAUAGGGCCACAUAGAUCACCAUGGAGCAGCUCGAGUGCAUCACUUGCACGAUAGGUAGACUGAGCAGGGAAUGGCCUGCGGUGCUGUUUUCCAACCAAGCACCCGUCACAUACUCGAUCAACAUGGUCGAUAACUGGCAUCCCGGAUACCAUCUGCAUCUUUGACAUCUUCUUCAAGGCGUAGAAGUUAACGUGUCCAAAUCUAGCAUGCCAUAACCACGAAUCAUCAUCACUCUUGGCAAGCCAACACUCCGGUUGAGAUUGAUCAAGGUUGAGGAUAUAGAGCCUAUUCCGUGAGCGAUUAACACGAGCUAGCACGUUUCGGAGGUUGUCGAAGAUCGUCAUCACUCCGCUCUCUAUAUUCACCUUGCAUCCAUUCUCGUCAAGCUUCCCAAUAGAGAUGAUGUUGUUGCGCAGCCGUGGGAUGUAGUACACUCCGGUGAGUAUGCGAUGUUCGCCUGUGAGACCCUCAAAGAGGACAGAUCCUUGCCCGCAAAUCUCCACAGCUGAACCAUCACCGAACUUGACCGAGCCUUCAACAUCGUAUUCCAGCUCGAGGAAUUUCUCCUUGCACCCCGUCAUGUGGUUACUGGCACCCGUGUCGAGAUACCACGACACGUUCUGAUCACCGGAUAACUUUGGUGUCACUUUUUCCUCAUGAAGUAGCACCUUCCGGCUUGGUUUCACAACCACCGUUUCAGCGAGAUCACAAACUUCGGCCAUCAGAAGACCUGGACCUUCGUCUUCCUGCUUUGCCAAAUUUGCCUUGAUCUCCCGCUUGUUAGGCUUUGGACAAUCCUUCGCAAAGUGACCCAUCUUAUUGCAGUUAUAGCACUUGACCUCGGACAAGUCCAAGUUCCGUGGUUUCUGCUCUUUAGAUUGUCCCGCCUUACCACGACCUUGUGGUUUGCCUUUUCCUUUGCCUUUUCCGGUUUGUCCAUCGCCCUUCGUGUUGCUUGAGCCUUCGCCACCGUCACGCCUUCCUUUGCUACUUGGGGCCUCCCAAUCUGUGCGCGAGUACAUGAGUUGGUCACUACCUCCUCCUUUGCCUUUCCGACAGCCACGAGCAUUCUCUUCCCAUGUCCGCAAUCGUCCGAUCGCCUCCGUUAUGGUCAUGUCGUCGAUGUCGUAAAGCUGCUCGAGCGUGCCGAUGAUGUACGUGAAUUUAUCAGUGACUGAACUGAAAAACUUCUCCACGAUCUCGGUCUCAUCGAGCUUUGCACCAAGCGCGCGGAUCUCUCCCACCAAAGUAGUAAAACACAUGGCAUAGUCGUUCACCGAUUCAGUUUCCUCCAUCUGCAACUUGUGAAAUUGGCGCUUCAGCACUUGUGCCCGAGCCUUGGUGACGCGAUCUUCUCCGAUCCUCAUCUCCUUGAGUGUGUUCCACGCCUCUCUUGCCGUCUCGAACUCCGCCAAUGUCAUCAGCACAGAAUCCGGCACAGACUGGGCUAUGGCGGCCAUGGCACCUUCGUCGCGCUCCGUGUCGACGUCGUCGUCCGUGAUGGCCUCCCACACUCGAAGGGAUCGAAGAAUAAUCUUCAUCUUCACCGCCCACACGCCGUAGUUGGCGUCGGUGAGCAUCGGGUACUGGAUGGGGAUGUUGCGAUGCGCCUGAACGUUGGCGCCGCUCGUUCCUCCAUCAUUGGUUGCUGACUUGACGCCCUUCUUCACCUUGUCGCCGUUCUUGUUCGCCUUGGCAUCGCCGCUGCCGGACUCGACCGACUCAGCGUCGUUGUCCGUCAUCGUAGAUCGUAGAUCGUCGAGGCUCUGAUACCAAUUGUUGGCUUUUGAACGUGCGUAUGCAGCUGUACAGGCGUGCCUACGCGAUUCUUGCUUCGGCCGGCUACUUGACGGAACUUGCGUAACUAGCGACACGAAUAAAACUGAUCGAUGGAUUUGAUGGCUAAAGGCCCGUGUCGAGCCUUUGCUUUGUAUUGCUUUUCGUUUUUCUGAUGUUACAAUCAACACCCCUAGGGUGUCUUUUAUACACGUCCACAAGGGACUAUGGAAAUAGACUAGGACUAGGAAUCCUAAUACUACUAGGACUCGGUUUGGCUUUCUUUCCUAAUCCUACAUGAGCAACAUGAUUAACAUCUACANNNNNNNNNNNNNNNNNNNNNNNNNNNNNNNNNNNNNNNNNNNNNNNNNNNNNNNNNNNNNNNNNNNNNNNNNNNNNNNNNNNNNNNNNNNNNNNNNNNNUCUGUGCCUUCGUGAAGAAGUUCGCUAGCUAGAACUCGAAAGGCACAUACUGAAGAGCAAUAACAUGAUCAUGCACAGCAGCGCACACAUAAUAAGCAUCAACACCAAUCUGUUUGGUAAGCUCAUGCUUCACGGGGUCCCAUGCAAUACUGAUAGCACCUGUACUGUCGGACAAUAGGGUGGUAGGUGUAGUAACGAAAACACAAAUAACCUCCAAUAGUUGUCGUAACCAAGUCACCUCUGCCGUCAGAAGAGCCAUAGCUCUCAACUCAGCCUCUGCACUUGAACGAGAAACUGCAGUCUGUUUCUUCAUCUUCCAGGCAAUGAGAGAACCACCAAGAAAAACACAGUAGGCAGAAAGUGAACGGCGAUCAGAAGGAUCAUUGGCCCAUGUAGCAUCCGAAUAGGUCUGGAGCUGUAACGAGCUGGAACGAGGAAAAAAGGACGAUGAGAGAUCAUGCCACGAAGAUAUCGUAGAACACGAAGAGGUGACUAUAAUGAACUGAAGUGAGAGCGGAAACAAACUGACUCGGAAUAUGAACAUGAUAGGAGAUAUCCGGACGAGUGACAGCAAGAUAGACAAGACUCCCAACAAGAUGACUAUAACGCGUCGGAUCAGACAAGAGCUCACAAUCAAAAGCACGAAGGUUAAAAUUGAGCUCCAUAGGAGUCUGAGCAAUGCGCUCAUCACUAAGAGCCGCACGGGAAAGAAGAUCCUGGAUAUACUUUUCUUGGGAAAUAGAAAAGCCAUCAGAGAUGGAGGAAACCUCAAUCCCAAGAAAGUAACGAAGGGGACCAACAUCAGACAUAAGAAACUGCUCACUGAGUCAGGCCUUGACAAAGGCAAUGUACUCAGAAUCAUCGCCAGUGAUGAUCAUGUCAUCAAGAUAUAGAAGAAGAGUGCGACCACGAGCAGAGAGGUGGACAAACAACGCUGGAUCAUCAGCACUAGGCGAAAAAACCAGCUGCAGUGACCACAGAGGUAAAACGCUCAGACCAAGCACGGAGGGCUCGCUUAAGGCCAUAUAGAGAGCGACGAAGGCGGUAAACCAUGCGGUCAAGAACUGAAUACCCAGGCGAUGGCUGCAUAUAAACCUCAUCACGCAACUCACCAUUAAGAAAUGCAUUCUUAACAUCAAGCUGAGACACAAACCAGUGACGAACAGAGGACGCAUCGAGAAGUGUGCGGAAAGUGGUCAUAUGGGCCACAGGAGCAAAAGUCUCAUCGUAAUCACGACCAUGCUACUGCUGAAAGCCAUGAGCCACAAGACGAGCUUUAUAACGCUCAAGAGAACCAUCAGAGCAAGUCUUAAUCUUAUAGACCCACUUACAAGUGAUGGGACGAACACGGGGAGGAAGAGAAACCAGGUCCCACGUGUCGUUGCGCUCAAGGGAAGCAAUCUCCUCUGCCAUCACAAACUGCCAUUCAGGAAGAACAAUAGCAUCUCGAUAAGAAGUCGGCUCAAGAAUGGUUGAAAAACCAUAGCGAGAAGGAGAAUAUCGGUCAGGGGCGGACAAAGCCAAGAAUGAAGACCAUAAGUCGGUUGACAGGAGGAAGACGACACACCAGAAGUAGAGGGCACAUCGAUAAACUUGUACACAACACGUGAACGACGAGUAUAAUGGAAUGGAAAGGGAAGGACGGAAGAGGUGGAAUAACUAGAGGUGGAGACGUGGAAUGUAUUAAUGAUGAAGGUGGAGAAGGGGAAGGUAUCGGUGAUGAAGGUGGAGAGUCAUUCAAUAAGGGAGGAGAAGAAACCGUAGGAGAGGACAGAGUCGGAUCUGCAACAGCGGGACAAGUAGGAAUACUAGGCAUAAAGAGAGGUGUAUCGGGAAACGUAAGAAAAGAGAUGUCUGUGUGGAAAAGGUCGAGGAGGAUGGACGCGGGUAGAAGGGACGAGAUUCAUCAAAGGUCACAUCCCGGGAAAUACGCAUCCGGCGAUCGACGGGAUCCCAACACCGAUAGCCCUAAUGCUCAUCACUGUAUCCAAGAAAGACACACUCAACAGGCUGCGCAGUUAGUUUGGUGCGUUCAGGAGGGGCAAGCAAAACAUAGCAAACACAACCAAACAAACGGAGCGUCAAAUAAUCAGGAGAACGACCAGAAAGACGAUGGAAAGGAAUACCACCGUGUAUAGCAGAGAUGGUUGAAUGUUGAUGAGACAGGUGAAAGUAGUAACAGCCUCAGACCAGAACUGAGGAGGAAGAGAGCCGGCGAUCAUCAUCACAUGCGCCGUCUUAAGAAGGUGAUGAUGCUUGCGCUCAGCCACACCAUUCUGAGCAUGAGCACCAGCGCAAGAGAAUUGAGUAAGAGUACCCUGCUCAGCAAGAAAUCCUCGCAGUGCAUGGGAGAUAUACUCAUCAGCUGAAUCUGUGUGAAAAACACGAAUAGGAGUGUUAAACUGGGUAUGAAAUUUUUUUGUAAAUAGAUAAGACCUCACUACGAAAAGUCAUGAAAUAAAUCCAAGUGUACCGAGAAAAAUCAUCUAUAAAGAUAAUAUAGUAGCGAUGACCCCCUUUCGAAGCGAAGGGAGCCGGACCUCAAACAUCAGAGUGAACAAGAUCAAAAGGACGCUCGGACACUGGCUCACUGUGAGGGUAGGGUAGCUGAAUUUGCUUACCAAGCCUACAACCCAGACAAUCCAACGAAGCGUUACCGGAGACAGACCCCAGAACACCGCGACGAACCAAAACAGAGAUGAGAACCACAUAAAUGGGCAAGACGAUGAUGCCACUGGUGAAAAGAACUAGUAGAUGCAGCAACAAGGGUUGUGAGACUGGCGACAGUGGCAGCAGAGGGAAGUUGAAGACAAUCAAGCUCCCAGAGACCAUCAGAACGUCGAGGGCCAGCACCAAGUAGAGCGCCUGUGCGACGAUCCUGAACAGAACAAGAAUCAAAGUCGAGAAUGACCCUACAACUACAGUCAACAAUUUGACCACUAGAUAUGAGUGGCAUGCUAAGUCGAGGAACAUGAGCAACAAAGGGAAUAUGAAAUGAAGAAGUGCUAAGAGUGCCUCAACUAGCUACAGGAGGGGAGUGCCAUCAGUAGUAAGAACAUGAACAGGAGACUCAACAGGUCGAACGGAGGUCAAAGUGGAAGAAUCAUAAGUCAUGAAAAGACACUCCAGUAUCAAGAAUCCAUGGGGAUGUACCUGAAUGAGUAGAUGGUGGUUUCUCGGUGCCAGAAGAGUCAGUCACGAAAACUACAGAACCUGUCGGUGAAGAAUCCCAAGCAUCAAGCAAUCAUCUCAGCUGCGCAAUCUCCCACGCAGACAGGGACAUGACAGAAGAGGUCAGGGUAGAAACACCCGUGGAAAACAACGAUGAGCAGUCACCACCUCCUGUGGAAGCUGCGUGAAGAGUCAACUAAGAGCAAGUCGACAUAGAGCCGCAUGAGGAAGCCACCUGGGGAAUCCACGUAGAUCGGUCACCACGGCGCGCGGAAACCGGAGGUGUCGACAUAGAGCGGUAACCCCCUUGCGUGAAAGUCGCUCAAGCAGACGGAGAAGCACCAAGUACCGAUGGAAGGCACAUGCGUGAAACAGGAUCAGUGUAGGGAACACCGUCAAAAAUCACCGGAUGAGGAGACAAGGCCCGACCGUAACAUAAUGCCUUUUUUUAAACACUCUUUUUUUUUACUCACGAGCUAAGGAACCUUUCGGGUCAACUCCUGAUGGGAUCGACGGGGCAAAGAAGCCAACGCGCUCGAGGCGACUAACGCCUAACGAGGACCACAGUAGGAAGAAGACAAAAACGAUCGGAUAAAGACGCGAUCUGAAGCAAAAGACACAUGGACAUGAA